UUAGUCUUAUGUAUAGCGCAGCUCCCUCCAAGUUUCUUUUGCUAGUUUUGUUCCGAUCGAUGAAGGAUACUUUACUUGUGGGUUCGGAUUCGUUUUCCUAUUUCACAGGGACUUGUAUAUCAAUUCUGUCGGUGCUUCAAUAUUGUCUUGAUUGGCAGUGCAGUUUCUUAUUGUCUUGAUUGUUCUUAUUGUCUUGAUUGGCAGUUUCUUUCUUUUGAAUCUUCAGAGAGACCCUUAGAGUUCUGUCCGGGAGGGUUUGUGAGUAAACUAUGUAUCAAACCGUAAGUGAAGCGGUCUACAAAGAAUACUUUCCAUCUUCCUUCUUUGGCGCAGCUGGAGAUGCCCCACAAGGCCUUAUUUCUCAAGAUUGAAUUAUUCGCGAAAGGAAGCCGGCAAUAGAAAGCAAGCAACCUUUUUGAAUCCAUUGAAGUAGGUGGCCGUGUACACUAGGUAUCAACAAAGCAAAGGACGCUUUCUCUCACCUAACUCUUCGCCUUCGGCUUUCCAUUGAAUGAUCUAUCAGGUGUGCUAUUUAGACUCUGUCAGUUGGGGCUUAUCCCUUUUCAAUAUACAUGGCAUAUACUUACACGAAUAUUCCAACUCAUCGACUCCGCUCAAAGCAUAUGAUCAAAGCUAGAGUGGCGCACAUAGCACAAGAGACUAAUGGAAUUCUCGUUGACCUGACCGGCAGUAAUAGCGAACAAAGACUGUUCUAAUGGAAAAGGGCGAGUACCUCUUUGUGGUAGAUAACGCAACCGAACAAGAAAUUAUGCUUUAAGUAUAGCAAAGCAUCUGGGCGAGCCCCUACACCCGGAAACUGCCAGCGAAUCAUAACUGAACAAGAGGAAGUAGAGCGUCUCACUACUAUAUAUGCUGUACCACAUACGAAGACCCAAAGCCGUUCUUUCUUUAUAGAAGUCCCCAGGACUUUAAGUGCUCAAUGGAAUUUUCCUUGAAAACGAUUCCCUUUACUUCUAGACGAACUGGUUAAUAUUGAACUUGAGUUUAUUCGCCACCGCCCCUCUAUACAUUCCUUCGGCGAGAAAGAAAGCAAGAUCCUUCGGCGAGAAAGAAAGCAAGAAACGUGUUCGGAUAGGGGAGGAAUUGAGUACCUGCCCCCCUACUAAGCAUAAGGGUAUGACCAGCCAGAUCCGAUAACAGCGAUUCUCCGUCUCUGACCUGGAGUUAGAAUAUAUACUGAUCUACAGACAUUUGACCUGGAGUUAGAAUAUAAUAUAUACUGACAACAUUAGCCCAAAAUGCAAUGAUAGCUCGCAUUAUUCAUAGUAAGUCGAUACAUCAUGCUUUUGAGGAAGCUAUUCGGCUCCCUAUUUAUACAUUCUUUCCGUUUGAUGGGCGUGUUCUCGUUUCUAGGUUUGGAUGUUAUUUCAUAAGGGUAUACAAUAAUGACAUUACGUCAAUACAUUCAUCUCAUCUUUUUACGUCAAUACAUUCAUCUCAUCUUUCCAAUCUCUGAAUUCUUGAUCCGCUCAUGCCUCUCACUUUAUGCCUUCCAUUCGACUCCUACACGAAGAAGUCUGACCGUACUUUAUGCCUUAUAUUCGGCUCCUACCUUACCAAGUCCGACCGGGCUUUUCGUUAUCAACUGCUUUCUUUCUGACUUCCAUAUUUGUAUCGUGGGCUUGAGUCCGCCUACGAGUCUAGAUUUACCGUUCGGUACACAUAGCUUUGACUAUCGAAGGAUAGAACAGAACCUAUAGCCUAUUCAGUAUAAGCAUCCUUAUAGAACCUAUAGCCUAUUCAGUAUAAGCAUCCUUAGGGAGGGAAAGUAUAUAUAAGGGGACUCGCCCAAAAUACUGAGACAAUAUCUCAAUUCUUUGCAAUUCUUUUGACUUUUGGGAUUGAAACCCACUUACGGGAAUAAGGCAAGUUAGAUAUUUCACACAAGCUUGGCACCCGGGGGAAUAAGGCAAGUUAGAUAUUUCACACAAGCUUGGCACCCAGGAAUAGGCGUUUUAUGGAUGAUUCAAGCCCUGCACACUCAAAGGCGAGAACGAAGUAGCAAGUCCAAAUGCGUUACCACCAAAUCCAGAAAAAUAGUCAUCAUCCUUAUGGAAUUGAAACCUAAAUCCGCCCAGAUGAGAAAGAAAGAAAAUAUGUUUAGCCACUGUGGGAUGACUAGGCAGGAAGCUAGAGAUGCGCCUGCACAUUGGCGAUACUUGUUUGCAGGAUGAUCCAAUCUCUGAACAACGUAAUUGGUUGAGGUUACUUUGUCCGUCGUGGUGUGAACUGAACCCAUUCACUAGUUUUUAGAAUACUCAAUCAAGGAGCUUAGGAAUGGUUUAAGGUUGAUGAGGCGGAACCAGAAAUGCUACCCACACCGGAAAGAUUGCCUGGGGCUGAUGCUUACUGUGAUGUGGCCUACUUGUAUACUAGUGUUACAUGAGGAUACCCGGAAUCUAGAAUGGCAUGUUCUAUAUGUUAAAGACAUCACUGUUGCGGAAGUGGCAUUGAGGAUGCUGAAGCCACCACUGGUUGUUUGUUCACACAGGGAGAUUGAAGUGGGCCUAUGCUUCGAAAGGGGCGUAGCGGAAUCAGGCGACUUGCCCCUGGAGGAAUUCCUUCUUCUUAGAGUGGAGGCGGAUCUCACUCUUUUGACAAAUGCCCAGAAGCGUCUGUAUACUAGUGAAGGUUAGAACAGGGUGUCGAACUAGACUGCGUCUAUCGAAUCGCCUCUGUAAAGUGAAGUAAAGGCUGGAUGCCGAGAAUCCUAUAUCUAUCUAAGAAGAGCAGGCAUGUGUGGCACUUUAGGACAAAACUCUGCAAGAAGGACCUUUCGUUUAAUAUGCCUUAUGUACUGUAUUAACCGGUCUUGGCAAGAACGCCUUCUUUCUUAUAGAAGCUGCGAUGAAGCGAAUCUAUCAUCUGGAACCCGAUCACAUUGCCCGCUUUACGGCUUGACUGCAUUACCUUCCAAACCUUACCUUUGUCCCUUAACAGCUGACUGCAAGCAUUCCUGGAGCUAGUAAUCCGCCAAAAAGAGAAGUCACUUCAUACAUACGCUCCUGGUGUUCGAACUACUAAUUAAUGGUCGGCUUAAUUAGUAUCCGGAGAAGAAGAGGUGAACGAAGCUAAUGCGUUGCGAGAAGCUUCAUCGACUAUCGAAUCAAUCUAGAAACUAGUGUUUGACUCGCCGUGUAGCGUUAGUCGAGUUACUUAUACUUCAUCAGCAUUAAGUAGUGAGCUCUUCAAUUCCUAUGUUAUGUUAUAUGCCGAUCAGUUCAUCAAUUCCCAUUUCCAAUUCAUUCUCAUUCUUGGGGUUUCUAUUCUUUCCAAUUCAUUCUCAUUCUUGGGGUUUCUAUUCUUAUAUAUGUGUAGAAGUUCAAUUCCUGGGUAAGUCACUUGGCUAUAAGCAUCAGCCACGAGAUUAGCCAAAGCACAAAAAAACUGCUCGAGACACUAGGCCAACCAAGAUGGAUAGCAUAACUCUUGACAUCGAAACGAGUUUGUUCACAGUACCCCCGAGACAUAUCAUUUUCUAGAAACAUACGAAAUGGCUGACACAGCCCUAAGAAUAUGAGCGGAUUUCUCCUCUCGAACGGAGCCUUCUCGAAUUCUUUGAUUAUGAUCCCAGACCGAAUCAGUUAGCAGAAACACAAGAGGGUCUCACCCGGUGGUGCAUCUCUUGCAUCAUACGCUGGCCCAGACCCCAUUGCGGAUGGGAAAAAGAAUAACCCUGUAGCAUCUCAUUCUGUCUUCGGGUCUUGGUGAGUACCCACGCAAUGGCAGUCACGUACAGUAAACAUGGUUUGCUAAACAUAAUGACAAAUGCUGCGGCCAGUCCGCUAUAAGCAAAUACAGGCCAUGCCACUAUUCACAAAAAGAGGAAGAAAGGAACAAUAAACAGUUCGAUCAUCCAGCGGUGAACAACCAAUUCGACGUUGAUUAUUCAAUGAUGGCACAUACCUAAGUAUUGGCAAACGGCAGACAGGGAAGCCGAAAGUCCCGUCCCCUCUUUUUGACGGGUGUGAGCGAUUGCUAAUCAGUAAAAAGCCGAAUGAAACAACUUGCUGACAAAGGAAGAACUGAUAGAGAGUUCCACAUGGGUGAUUGGGUGGAUCUAAGGCCCGGACUUGACUCUCCUUCUCAGCUGCAUUCAGUCAAAGGUUCAAGCCCUGGCUUACUUGGGCUCACCCUGCUAGUGGUGGGUUCGUUCUGGCGGACGAAUAAAAGCCCUGGGAGAAAUCCGAUUCCUCAAUACUACUCCACUCGUGCCUGAAUAGGAAGCCAGAGUCCCUUUUUGUAAGUGGGCAAAGUAUCAUUUUUCAAAGAAGUCUCAAAACGAUCGAAUUUCUUGUACGAAGUCAUUUUCUCACUUACGGAAGGUGGGCAAGGGAGUCAUUCAUAUACUUACCUCCGAUCUGAAUUUGCUGUUCCAGUCACUGAUAAGAAAAGAGAGAAAACGGACUCCUAAUAUCAGAAUCAGAGAGAAAACGGACUCCUAAUAUCAGAAUCAAGUAAGAGGAAUACAGUAUACAAACCUCUUUCUUAUUCUUAGGUUAUGAGUGAGAGCCAUCAUGCAAGGAGUCGAAAUACAAUGGGCAAGCAAGCAAGCUUAUUUCGCGCAGUCAAACAAGAUACAGUUACAUUCUAUACAUUAUGUCGAAGCUUUCCACUCUGCCUUGUCUUCUUAUCUCGAAGCUUUCCACUCUGCCUUGUCUUCUUAUCUCAGGGACUGGUACCCAAGUUUAUACCUGUUUGAAAGCUUCCUUUCGACUUGGAAAAAGAUGUAGGACGGGCCGCUUAAGUAAGAGACUCGAGCUACACACAUCUGCUGGCCUCAGAGCCCUUAGUACUUGAUGAAAGUAGAACACCCAGCCCAAGGGGUUGACGUGUCCAAAGGAGAGAACGAGACAAAGAGGGCCCGGAGCCUCGGACGGUGUCCUUCCUUAUCGAACCAAUACACGAUUCUUCCUCUAUAUGUGACAUGGCCCGAUGGUAUUUUCACAUGACAACGGAAGGUGUUCAGCGUGUUUCAGCCUCGCGCGCAUCUCCAGAGCAAGGUUGCAGACUCUGCGGAAGACGAAUCGGAAUCAGCAUCUAGUCCGGGGUCAUAACCUCUCGAAUAAGUUGUGACCGGCCUCCGUUACUGAGGAAGCUGCCUUAUAAAGAGAAUCUAGUAAGAUGAAGUCAAAUAGAGUUAUUACCAAGCAAGUCCUUUCUUCGUCAUCUGAAUCUGCCUCCAGUACUUCACCUCUUUGCUUAUAUGCCUAAUGAACUUGCCUUGCGCCUUGCUAGGAGUUCGUUCGUUGCCUCAUUUCGUUUUUCUGUAAGAUCCUAAUUCAGGCUCAUUCACUUGUUGUGAAACAAUAGGUUGGGUAGGGCAGAAGGUUGAGUAUCACUGGAAAGAGCUAUCUAUUUCGGCUACUGAGCAAGGCGACGGUAGAUGCCAGUUUGCGGAAUACUUGGAGUUCGAAGUGGCAUGGAUCUAAUGAGCUAUUCCUCGCAUCUCAUCCUUUAGAAUCAAAUAAUCAUAUUGAAUAAGGCAAUUCCCACUAAUCCUCAUGUCCUGUUUUUUUGAUCUCUUCUCUUCGUCAUCCCGCUUAGAAUAACUAUCAGAAUAAAGAGCUUGGAUUCUAUAUACCACCAGCUUUCCUUGAGCAGAUAGGACUGUAAACUGACAGACUAGCUUCGAAAGAACCUACCCAGGGGGCGAUCCUCAUCUCGUUCACUCAAAGAAGCCUAGCUCCACUUUCUUUCUUAUACCAGUAACCGGAGUAAGCCUUUCGCUCGUCCCUUCGCACGUGCAUCUUUAUAUCCCCGGGCAAGCAAUAGAGCAUUGAUUCUUUCCCUCGCUCCCGUAAGUCACUUCGUUCCCUAGCCUUUUCCUUCUAGGCUUCCAGUAGUCCUUCCGUAACCAAGAGAAACCAACCCUAGGAUAAGACCAUGCUACCAGGAAAGGAAAGCCUACCUCGGAAAGGAAUUUCACCAUGAGUUCACGGAUCAGAAGGAACCCAUCCCGUCUUUCAUUAAAGAGCAAUGGUCUACGACUACGACUCCGCUGCUUGGGAGAGCUCCUUUGUGAUUUUCUUUCUUAGGAUAACAGAUCUUGUAGGAUAACAGAUCUUGGUUUUUCACCCGCACCAGACAUAGCAGCCUUUAGUUUCAGUUCUCGGUCCUUUGAAGAUUGGGCAAUAAGCACAUCCAACCAAACCCAAUAUUACUAAACGUUCUGAGUCUUGUCGUUGGACUAAUUACGUCUUCGGUCAUGGUGCCCAUCAUUACACUUUUGAGUAUUUCGGUCUGUUCUUCUCCAGGUAACGUACUCAGAGUUCAUUAUCUCAGCUUUGUCAUCAGUCUCAACUCAAGCUUUGGUUCUUUUCUCACCGAAACUUAUAAGAUCUUGUGCUUUCAAUAAACGACAUUUUGAUAGUUUCCAUUUUCUUGAUAACAAAUUGACGAUGGACGGGAUACUCACUAAGUGCUGAGGAGAAGGAUACAGACACAGCGGUGGACAGCGCCAAAGAGAAAACACAUAACAAGCAGACCAACAGAACCAACUGAACGUUUCCCAAGAGCUAGUGCUCUGAUACCAUGAAAGAGUGGAAAACACUUGGAGCAGCGUCUGCAUCCGAUCUUAUAGAAUCUUUGUCCUGCAAACAACCUAUUCUUACAAAAGAAAAGUCAUAGUGCUACUUACUCCUGCUAAUGCUAGUGCUACUCCUAACAGCGCUUAUUCCGACAACAGCGAGAACAGUAGCUGGGGAUUCGAUUGCAGGUUUGUUUGAUUACCCUAACAGCCUUAUCGAGCAACCUACUCUAGCAGCUCCUUCUGGGCACACUAGUUUCAGAAGUGACUUGCCUUGCCUUCCCCAGCGUCGAAGUAAAGUUCGGAACUCUUUCUCUUAUAUAGGCGAUUUUGCCUUUGAAUCCCAUUCUAACCAUCUUCUUCUUCUGUGUAAGUAAAGACUAUCUGGGCCAUUCUCUUGCAUCAAUUCCUUGCUCCUCGAUAUUGGAAAUUGGGCAUUCGAGUCGAGAACAAGCCCUUGUAAUACCCCAUUGAAUCCAUCAGUAACGAAGAAGGAGUCCCAGUAGUCAAAUAGGCAUUCACUUCACUCGAACAGAAAGAAAGACCAAAAUGACCAUUAGCUGAACGGAAAGUGGGUCUGUCUACAAGAUGAAUACUCGAGAUCGUAAGAUGUGUUGGCAGUCUGGUUCCGCUUUCUCUGACGCCAAGAAUCUUCAUACCUCUUUCCUUUCUCUCUCGUGCCCUUCUCUUUUGAGCGGUAAAAAACAUCAAUUAGGAAUGAGAGCGCACUGCCGGAUCAUGAAAACGUUCUAAUCUACCAACAACCAGGGUUUACUUGAUUGGCUCUUUAUCGGCUUGACUAAACCCAUCUAUAAACCUUAAUGCCCUGAUAGUCCACUUAACUAAUCAAUUACAGAGCAUAUCCUUAUGCUUCCGACUAAGCCGUGCUUGCUACCCCCAGAAGCCACCUUUGAUCCUAAGUCGCAUUGAGAAUAAGUGAUAGGAAUUUCUCUGCACUAAAGGAUUCUGCCCGAGUCCCCCAAGCCACAAUGAUAAUAGUAGGUCUUCCUCCUUAUGAUUAUGUCUGGCAAGCAAGCUAGCUUCCCUAUUCAUGGAAGAUAUCUAAAGUAUUCCUAUUUAUUGCCUGAAGUGAGCUACAAGACUGAUACUGAUACUAGCUUUUGCUUGCGCUUCUUCUCAGACUACGGCUUGCCCGCGAUAACCCUACUGAGCUUCAUUAAGCUGUUGGAAAAAAGGAAUGAAGAGUCAAAGUCAGUAUAAGCUCCCUAGGAUUGAGAUAGAUACGAGACUGGCCAGCGAACCACUAAAGGACCCGAGACUGAACCCCAGCCUAGGCACUCCUACAACGGAUAGAGCCUUGACCCGGAUGACAUGAAAUGGAAAUCCAAAAAACGACAAUGAACUAUUGAAGCUAGAAGUGUGAUUGAUCAGACAAGUAUAAAGGGCUUUCGGUAUACUUCUUUCAUUUCCGAAUUAGCUUGCUACAAGUCCUAGCAUUAGUAUGACCGCGUAAGGGAAAUCCAUCAACAAUCAUUCCCCUCCAGAAGUAGAGUCCUCGUCCGCUUAUUCGAGAGCCUCUCUUGCGGGUUGAGUUCAUUCACAAAGAAACAGUCUUCUUCGAAAGUAUGCAGGUUAGCUUAUCUAUGUUCGUUUACACCUUGGCCUACCAAAGUUCUGAUGGAUUGGCAAACUCUAAAGUCUAGUUCGGUCGAUAAGAAAAAGCAUUGCUUUCCCACUUCGGUGAAUCUAUUGAUUCUUAGCGCCCCUACGAAAUAGUUCAGCGAGCUACCGUUACUGGAACUUCGACUUCACUUUCUUAGGCCGGAGAAGAUCGCCCAGGAGGGCUUGUAAAAAGCAUCAAAAUGAAGCAUAUUAUUUAAAGGCUGUCAUUAUUAAAGAUGGCACGGAUUGACUUAGUUGAUGAAGGGUCCGUGUAACCAUACCGACCGAAUUCGCACCUACUACCUAAAGCUAACUUCCUUCUUGGGGACCACUUUGUGUAUAACGAAUUUGACGCCCCAGAAUGUAUGGAAUGGUGUAAGCCGUCGAGAGAGAAGCCCUUAUUCAAUGCUUAAUUCAUAGGACAGAGCAGGUGUAGCGUAGCGUUCGUCGCGUACGACUUUCCAAUUUCAUUAGGCAAGUUCAUCAUUUCGUUUCGAUGCUUGGUUCAAAGCAACAAGGGGAUCGUCCCCCAAGUGAGCGCUUUCCGUUGAAACCACUCAACGGCCUGAGAGGAAUGGAUUGACCGAGCCGAGUGAAUGAAGGUUUCAUGAGUCUUGCCUGUCAUAGGCCAGUGAGACAGCAUCUCAUUAGGUAUCAAACUAGCAGGAUUGAGUGGUAGGUAUCAAACUAGCAGGAUUGAGUGGGUGGAAAUGUCAUCGGCUUAUAUUAUUGCAUUGCCCAUGAGACCCUAACUAAUGAGAGCCAGAUUUAGAUGCCUUUGCCCACCUUCCCCUUUAAGAUGAACAGGCUUUAUUAUUCCACACAACUAGAAAAGGAUCCCAACUUUGUCCAGCAUCCCAUAGUCAAACUAAAGGACAGACGUGAUGGCUGAUAUUGCUUUUUCCCUCAUGUUCACAGUGGGUUUCAUGGUUCUGAACCAAGAUUUCAAGGGAAAGACUUCAAUCGAUGAACUCCUUGCAGCAGAAAUGGAUUGCGCCUGAUAAAGGCAAUGAAAUUGUUCAGUGAUGAUCCGUACGGGAUUUCUUAUCUUUGGAUUUCGUUAUAGCCAGCAACGGAAUGAUUUUGGGCAAGCUGACGUCGCUCCCCUUUAUUUGACAGGGUCGGAGAAGGAGGUUGAAGCAAAGGCUGUUUACGCCCGGGCCAAGUAGACAAGAAACGAAAACGGUUUCAUUUAUGCCUCAACUGCAACAUUUCCAUAUUUGACUGAUGCGCUUGGUUUCUCUAUUCUGGCAAACAUGAAUAGAAUCUUUGGAAGUUCAGAUAGCCCAAGGAGCGGAACCUUAUCUAUACUUUGAACUCCUAACCGUGCAACUCAUGAAUGUCAAUUAGCUUAGACUAAGGGCAACUCUAUACCUAUCUCGCCAAGUUACUCGUAUACACCUCCGGCUCAUCUAACUAUAUCUCUUUGAACUCAGGCUACAAUGAAUUGAACCCUGCUUGCUCCUCUAGACCCACAGCCUGUAUUCGUUGCUUGGCCCCUAGUGGAUUGGCCCGAAAACAGGAUUUGUUGCUCUCCACUCCCCUACGCCAACAGCGGAUUAAGUUGUAUACUUUCAUUCUUCUGCUGAAGAUCCUUGUUCUAAUCCUUCUCUUGCUUCCUACAUAGUUGUUAUAGUGAUUUUUGCCUAUUCAGAAUUUCCUCUUGCAAAUACAUCCAUUAUUUCCUGUUUCACCCAUACCUACUUUGAUUCAUGAGGAGAACACACUCUCUUUUGUUUAGAAGGAAGUGCUGGGUUGUUACUUUGUUACAUAAGUGGAGAGCAUUCUCUUAUAUUCUGAAGCGUUAGGGAGCGUCACUCCUGCUCUCGUUAGUGCAGCUAGUUGCUAGUUGGUUAAGGCCUGGCCUACUGAAGCUCCCCUACUUCAAGAUAACAAGUAGUCAAAUUCCAUAAGCAAAAGAAACUCAAUCACUCAAUUCCGUUCGCUAAACUCAUUCAUUUGAAUUGAAUCUUUCUUCUCGAGCACUUGGUAUAUAAGGAAGUAAAUAGACUCCAUCUUUGGCUUUAGAUCCUGAUCCAGCAUUAACAACAGGUUGAAAUACAAGACUUGAAACUGCUCCAGCUCUAGCUAACCCGGCUCCAUCUUCUGUUGUCGACUUUGAUUGACUUCCUGCUUCCACUCCAUCCUCUGAUCCUGAUCUUUUCACUCGAACACCCGAAAACCCAAAGACAGGACUUGGUUAUAACCUGGAAUCAAUCUUGAACCGAGUCAAACUAAUCAUUCAAUAUAUCUCGCGCUAGAAAGUAAUCAAUUCAUUCAAUCUUUCGAGCGGAACUACUUUCCUAUAGCCAACACUCGCACCACUGCUAACAGGAGCGGAAGAAGGACAUUUUCAUAUACAAGCAAGGUCUCGCACGAAACAACUUUGUUUGAGCUACAGUGGCAGGGCACCCCAAUCCAAUAGUUGCCUUUUUCGUCCUUUAAGACAUGUUCAACUCAAAUGAUAGCUCCGAUCAAUACUGAAACUCGCAGGAAAAGAAAAGACACUCCCUUCCCUUUAGCACAACUAACUCAUAACUUUCAAAGAGAAUGUCGACAGCGCUUAGAAGACUUUUGCUGCUGACUCCCUUUCUAGUGCUUCUUCUCUAUACUUUUCACUACGCGGAACCUUGAUUCCACUCGCACCGACCGAACCUAGACCUAACUCGAACUUAAGAUUAUCUUGUUGAUUUUGUACCGUAACUAACUAUACGAAUCGAUUGCUUCUGAUCGUGCAUCUUAUGGUGAUCUACCUUAGUUGAGUCAAGUCAAACAGGGAAACCCAUUAAUUGAUCAUUUCGAGAACUCCUCGCACUGCGGAUUCUCUAACUGCACCCCUAGAUAUGGAACCUGAGAAGAUACUGGCUGGAGAAAGAGAAGGAAAGGAGACAAGAUCAGAUGAUGUGUAAAAGUCAGCAACAAGGUAAGGUGGUCUUCAAGCGAAGGAGAGUGAUUGGCUUGUUCAGCAGAUUGCCCUGCAGUAGCUCCUUCUCGGCCAGUUCUGGUUGCUUACUUAUAUUACUUAAGUUUUAGCGUGGAGAUUUUCGUUUUAGUUUCAUCAUAUUCAAUACAUAUUAAGAAGAAGAUCUCGAAUCGAAUGCGGAGGUAAAGUAUAAGGCAAGGCUAUAGGCUCAUCUCUUUUAUCAUGCACACUACCCUUAAUUACAAUUGCAUAAGUAUAGGAUCCAUGAAUAGCCUCUUAUAAUGGAAGAGUCUCAGAGCCCAUAUGGAUUGGCGAGAAAGAGUUGGCAAGACUGAGGCUAAACUUACGUAGUAGCUUGGCGGGUUGGGCAAUAAGGACAACCCGAGUCCGGUUACACUAAGAAUUAUUAGAUUCGAAUAUUAUACUAUUGGCAAGGAAGCAGAAGCCACUGAAGCAACUUACAUCAUUUUGGUUACCCUGAUAGGUACUAUAUUAUUCCACUUGUCCCACGUCUAGGUAUAAUGGAUCCUGGUUCCCAAGGAUAGUACACUACCAAUUGAAAGUCUAGAAUCGAAUGGCCAGUUCCUUUUCUAGUUUCCGUAUAAGUUUACGUUGAGUCUGCGAAAAAGUCAGCAGUGAAAAGAGAAUCAGCAGUAAAUAGCGGUUCUUAAGCUGUACCCGGAUACGGAGAUGGAUAAUCAUAGGGAACAAUAGAAUCAUAGGUGUCAAGUUACUCACUUAUUGAAUUAAAGUCAGCGGGCCUAUCAGGACAUUUCUCUAAUACAAACAGAUUCGACUCAUUCCCUUCCUUCCCUUAGCGCAAUCAGAAUUCAUGGAUUCCUUGUUCUAAAGUAUCUAUUUUGGAAUCUUACUAAUAUCAAUAUGAAACUCCUUUCUCUUAUUUUGAUUCGAGAGAUCCUACUGCUCGAACUUAGACUAGGGAUGAAACAAUAACUCCCCUACUAGACUGAACUUACUCACUCUAAAGGCAUCGCAGCUGACGCUGCCCUCGCAACAAAGCACAAGCCUAUACUUUAUUCUGCCACGACCUAAACUAUAACUGCUUUUUCUCCUGAUGCUGACACUGAUCUUUAUCCUUAUUCUUUCUGUAUGGGAUGAAACUGGAACGCGGGUUGAUUGUGCUUCUUCCCUCAAUGCCCCCUCCGUUGGUGAAGCAGUGUUGUCUCUUUAUGUUCCACUUUUCUCUUAAUCCAAAUAAGCAGUCAGAGUUUUGUCAACUCAAAGAAGAUGCGGUUUCAAGCGAAGGAUCAGAGUCCGGAUAAGAAGAAAGUAUUGUUCCAGAAGUGGAAGAGAAUGCCUAUUCUUCGGUUCAGUCUCAAGGAACAGUAUCAAGCGCUUGUCUAUAUGAUCUCGCCCAGUAAGUCCGUGCUUCUGAAGCGGUUAAGUAGAAAGGAAGUCGCAAGCGGGAAGUUCUGUGAAUGAAGUGUUUUCCUCUGCGCUAACGGGAGUUUGUGAAUAUUCAUCUAAAUAGAGAGCGUUCCCCACACACAUAUAGAAUUUGGUAACGUUCACCUCUUGCCUUUACUGAUUAUGGGCUUCCUCAGCUAAGCUACCUAAUGCCGAUACUAAUUAUUCUCCUUCUUUGACUGAAGAUACAGAUCCAGUCCGAGUCCUUUCUUCACCUCCUACGAGUUAUGAGCAAGUCCUGUGUCUGGGUGCGCGAGUAGUGCUUUGUGAAUCUCUUCUAUUUGUAGCUGUUAGUGAGAUGGAAUUGGUUUGGGAGGUUGACUUCAUACAGGCCCAACUCUGCCUACUGCUUCUCACAAGUAUCAAGUUUCUACGAAAGCUGGGAUCUUAUAUGUGACAUUACUUCACAGGGUGCAGAUCUUAUAUGUGACAUUACUUAACGAGUUCCGGGAUGCCUCAAUUUGUUCAACAUGUGAGUUUCGCAGAAAGGGUCGGUCUUACUUUAUUCCAUAAUCAGUGGUUAUCCAUCUUCUAGCUCUCAGACCUGGCUCAAGGCUGUGCUAACGGAGUCUUUGGAAGCAAAGCUGUAACGCUGUGGUUUUCAUAUCCCUUAUAGUAUGCUACUUAUUCACUCUCAAUUCAAGGAACAAGCCAACCACGCAAGAAUAAGCAAGGGCGACUGGUUCCGCAACAGAAGAAACUAUGGGCUUAUAUACUGAAGAAGUACUCAUGGGUUCAGGCUAAAGUGAGGUCAGCAGCAAUGAAGCCUUAGCAACUUCGACUUUCAUCCGCAAUUCAACUAUACUAAGGUUGGCUUAGAGUCUCUUUCAGUUCGAGGUAAAGUAUCAAGUGGAGUGGAAAGUUGGCUAACGGAGAGUUCCUGUUUUUAUACCCCGAUUACUGGUCCACGUAAGGCACAAAGGGCGAAGAUCUACUUUUUCUAGAAACUUGACCCUAAUACUUCACUUAAUCGACGCUUCCAGAUACGACAACACUCUAACUCGAGUCUCCAGCUAAACAUUGCUAAAGCUUCUCAACUCACUGUUUAUACUUGCUUGAUCCGUUGUUUUUGAGAGUAUGACUAAGAUUCUUUCCCGCCUUACUUUGAGCUAACGCCCACUAGUAGCGCUUACUUGAUGAGCGGGUGCCUUUAUUCUUAGCUUUAGAGCCAGCAGUGAGGUGAGGCAAUUCGUUGAAGCAGUAAGGAGUUGUUACUUACUUAUAUGAUUAGUGAAUCCUUUGUUUGUGUUUUUCUUCUUGGGCUUAUAGCUUUUGUAUUAGUAGUUACUUGGCGCUCGCUACCGCUAGUUCCUGUAUGUUAUAAACAAGUUCUAACCAAGUCCUUUGUUUUACCACCUUUCCAUUUCAAACAUCAAUAAAUCCAUGGUCUCGGAGCGACUGGCAAGCUAGAGCGGGAGAGAAAUACAGGUGCUUCAAGCCUUCUCGGGUAAUAGGCACAACGCGACUCGAUAACAGUGCUAGGUUCGAUAGGCCAGCCAUCCCCUUCUUUCUAAGUUGUUAGAGUUUUUUCAACGAUAGAAUCAGCAAGUACAACAUAUGAAGCAGUAAGAAUUAGGUCUCCGAGAUGAGAAGCUUUAUAAGGAUUCGAUGCAGGAUCAACAAGGGAACUAUUAAAGGAAGAAGCUUUUGGAAAGUCUAGUUAUGGGCUAUAAAUCCAUCCAGUACUUAUGAUGCACGGUGUGGUCCAAGUCGUCUAAAGUAAGCGGGGUUAAGUGGAGAAUUUCCUUCCUUCGGAUUCCUCAGCGCUAAGUCCUGAUGAAGUAUAGUUGGAUGUUUGCCUAGUGCUUGAAUCAUGAGUUGAAUCCGUGAAGUCAACAUCGACAAGAGAAUCAGUGGUGGAAAGCUAAGUGGUCAGCGGUAGUGUUGCUGGAACUACACUUGAAACCUUCCUUGCAGCAGACGACUUCAAUUCCAUAAGCUACGAUUCUCUUAUAGAUUCUACUAAGGUAAAGCCAAUAACUCAAUGAAACGACUUUACUCGCACUCAAAGACGAGACUUAAUUAAGUACUUAACCUAGCUUCUCAGCUCGCUAACAGAGAGUUAUUUCGCGCUUCCUUGAAUUCAAUAAGUGAAGUCACUUUACACCUAAAGUAGCCAAGAACCAGAAUGGCUGCUGACCCUACUCUUGCGCCUGCUCCUAAACGUGAUACAGCACUCGUACCCAAAGAUAUGGACUCGUAUUUAGUUUAGCUAGAAUCAACUGCUCCGUGUAGUGGGCAUGAUCUUCGAGCUAGAUGCUCUUCUUCUUCUAUAUGGGAUGAAAGUCUAUAACUACGGUAAAGUUAACAAAAGGGCCAAGCUAAACAUACAAAUACAACUAAUACAGAAGGAAACUAUCAACUAGGAAUGACAGAAAGGAUACAGGACACCUGUUUUCCUAGGUUAUGGGAAUGCACCUAUAAUAAGUCAUAAUUUGAUACAAGGGUUGAGUUGAGGAGACAGCCCGUCAACCAAUUUGGCUUCGAGAUUGCUACUACGCGAAAAGAGUUGGUCUUCCACUUCGGCGUGCCCCGUGAUAGGGUGUUCCCCGUCUCACUCGAAGAUUCCAGAGGCACAUUGAUACCGAAGGAGUCUUAGUAACCGCUAUAGAGGCUAUAUCAAUAAGGUCAAAUUCUUAUGCUCAUUGACACGGUUCACUCUUUCGUGUUUCUCGUGAGUCUCGUGCCCAAGCUCCGCUCUUAUUGGCAUUAGUUCAAAGCCGAUGCUCACUAUUGUUAUUCUCCACUCUUGUAUUGAUCCUACAAACACAUAAGCAAGAAAGUCAGGAGCACUACAUAGAAUGAAAGCAUAUAGUAUAAGAAUCUAUGUAGUAGGAGAUUCCUAGGUGCACUGCAUACUUCGAAUAAGGAGUCAGAGAAUGGGAAAAGGGAGUUUCCGUUUGAUAGCUAGGGGUGUCGGACCCAACCAAUAGCCGGGAAGGACAGCUUAUCCUCCCCAGGAAGCAUGGAUCCAAUGCCAGAGUGAAAGAAACUAAGACCCACAAGAGGAGCAGACUAAUAGCCCGUUGUUGGGGAACGAGAGAAGGGAAAGUCAGAUUGAGUCUAAGGAAGGGUAGGCUUGUUAGUGUUAGUUGAUUUCCCGGUUGUUAGUUAAGGGCUCAUGUGCCCUAGUUCAAUUCUGUAUUGCACUGUUCCAUUCUCGCUUGGUCACUAGUGAAGUCCGUUAGGCAGUGUUCGGAGUCACCAAGCAACUAAGAAAGACGUUGGGCGGUAGGAGCCUGAGCUAAACGGUAGCGAGCCCUCACUAGCUCAAGUCUUUGUAUUGCCGAUUUCAUUCAUUCUUUCUUUAUUCCCGGUCUUUGUAUUGCCGAUUUCAUUCAUUCUUUCUUUAUUCCCGAUUCCCUUUAGUUCAUGCUCCAUCCUUUCAUUCCGCAUAUCGAGUUGUGGAGCCUCCCAUUACUGAGUGGAAUUCCUAGUUACGAGGUUGGUUCUUAUCAAUAGUAGCUCCAUUCUGUAUAUGCCCCAUUACUGAGUGGAAUUCCGGAGGUAGUACUUCAUUCUGUACUGACUAUAAAUAAGUAUGCAAAAUAAGAUAAGGGAAACGUCGGGCAUACCAUUUCGGGGUUUUCAUAUCAUUGCAGGCGUCUACUUACUUUGAUUCCUUGAUUACUACCUAUAAGGCUAUAAGGGAGCGUCCAAACAAGGCAGCAGACUAUUCAUUAUAGGGCAAAUAGCCAUAGUCAAGAGAUGGGUCCGGGCUCGUAAAAGAAUGAUAAGAAGUCAAGGCAGGCCCGGAGCAAGCAAGGAUAGACUAGAAGCCGGUAAUGGAAUACUCAAUCUAAGAAACCAAGAUAUAAGUAAUAAGCAUAAGUCUACGUGCGCCAAGUGAGACUAAUGGAUAGGAAAGCGAGCCUAAGAUACCGGGGGGGAGAGGUAGAAACUGACGUAGUUACUUGGCUAAUAUACGUAGCUUGGCGAAUCGAAUCGAUCGAGGAGGGGAGGAUCCACUCGGCUAUAACAUCCGAAACCUGACUCACCUCUUUCCCUUUUUUAGGCAAAUGCUUCCUGUGCUCUUCCUCAACCUUUUCUUAUUCUUACGCAGAGCCGGAGACAUAUGGAUCUAAAGCGGAGGGUUUCCUUUCCAUAUCAGUAAUAGCGGAACUCGGACGUCGAAGCUGAAGAACUAAUGGUUAGUACUAUCUGCUUCAUAAGCUUCUUGAGAUUAGUCCUGUCCCCAAGGCAACUACUUGUUUCUUUCUUGGAUAUGCUCAGUCUGGGUCUCGAUGCUAUGCCGUGAAAUCCAAGAGACUCGAUUUCUCCUUUCAUGUUCUCUUUCAUGAGGUCGCCUCCUCUUUUCCUUAACCUAAUUCAUAAGCCAGCCCCGAGGGAGAAUGGUGAUGGUGUCCUGUUCAUCAACUCUCAUCUAAUGAUUCCCGCCGGAUCAGCCUCACUCGCUGCCCAGCAUGCCGAUUGUCAGCCUGUUCAGAGGAUUCCAGUUACCCGGCACAGCACUCGGCGGCGAUUACAUGAUGUUUCCCAGACUCAGACAACUCCAGAAGAUCAGCAGUCUCGCCCAGUUUGGGUCAGAAAAAAACACUAUAUAAGGUUCGUCGAGAGGAUCUAAGUUUCGGAUCCUGUUGAAUGAGAUCUGUCUGAUCUUAUGAUAAAACAUCACAUCGAGCUGACUGAGGGACAUGAACCCGAAUCAUUUGCGGAAGGGCCUUCUCUCAUUCUUGCUGGGGAGAUGCUAUGCUGGAAACCCAGCCCAGGACAAAUUGGGUCGUCCGACCGGCUGUUCACUGAAGCUCAUUGGUGAAUCCGAUCAGUUCAUCGAGCGUAUGAUGGUACUCAUGAUGAUCCUCCACGUCUUUCGUGUGUAUCUCACAGGUGGCUUUCAAAAACCUCGCGUGGUUUACAGGUUUGGUUUUGGAUGUAUUGACCGUGGUGUAACUGGUUAUUCCUUACCUUGGGACUCAGACUCUAUUUAGAAAAAGAAAGUGGACGAGAAAUUCCUGCUAUUUGCAAAUUGGGGGGAUGGGAAAAGCAUUACUGGAAAGAGAAAGCAAGACACUCGCUUCCACAACGAGAACGGACUUGGAACCAUAGAAGGACACUACUAAAGGGUAUCGAAACCUAUUCCAUGGUAUUCUUGCCAGUACUUUCGAUCUCGACUGGAACUCGAUUGACUUGUAUGAGUGGAGCAGGUAGACCCAUCCUACCAGUACUAAAGAAGUGAAGGGCGUCAGCAAAACUCUAACCUUAUCAAAGCUUACAUCAGGUCCAUCUAAUAGCUUGUCCAUCUUUCAUGGUUCGACGUCAGUUGACUCGACUCUCUCUAUCUACUGAUGCGGGAAAGGCUGUUUAUAAGUUCUCAAUUUCUUCUCCUUGUCACGUCGUCCCUGUCAAAGAAGGUCAGAAGCAUUAGGCUCAUGAACUCAGACCUUGUCUUUCAUGUAGUAAGGAGAUAACAAGAACCAAGUUGGUGUUAUCUGUGGAAUGGCUUCAACGGGGAAAGAGGGGUAGGAAAGCGAAAGGGCAGAGCAUAUUAUGCUCCUUAUAUAGGAUCAUUUCGGAUAGUGUAGUUCUGUCGAGCGACAUAAGGGAUUAAGAUAAUAAUCCGCUAAGAUGAAUGCCGCUUUAACGAGUGCAAAAGUCGUAUUGAAAUGACUUUUCCGGUCGGUUCCCUAGCUUCCUAUAUUACCACUCGAGCGGGAUCAAAGGGGAUGAGUUAUUCUCGUAGCGUCAUGCCCAUCAAGAGGAUCCAGAGGUUCAAUUGAAUUAUAGCCCUUCAUACCUCUUACAGAAGCCAUAGCAAAGAAAGCAGCAAGAGUGGAGAGAACAAGCUCUUCAAGCUCAGCUUCGGCAACAGCAACUCUCUAAAGCAAUUCCGUUUGUGAGGCCUAUAAUACAAUUCCACUUCUUUAUAUACGUCGUAGACGAUCAGUCGUCUAUUCUUGGGUAAGGACCAUAUGAAACGGUCUCUGUCAGCCUUACCAGCAGUCUGAGAUGAGCGUCCAAACCGAAUGUUUCCCCUCCGCUAUCCCUUCCCGUCUUCGUUUAGCAGCGAACUAAAGGAUGGCCUUUAUGUAUGAGCCGAAAAGGAGGUAUCUAUAGAGACAAACCAAACUUGCUAGUCAGGGAAGGUAGGUAAGUCAGAGGCAGAUCUAGGAAUCCCCUGGUGGUGGUAGUUGGGUUGGUGAAAUCCUAUAAUCGAUUGGCUUUAGAAAGGCGGCUUUCCAAACCUAGACAUUGUCACUGAAAGUCCUGCCUACAAGUAGGCUCCUCGACAACCUUCUUUCUUCUUUGACUGGCUUGGGAAAGACCCGUAGGCUAUGGAUCCAACUAAUGGAAUUGGGCAAUAACCAUAUUUCCAUGGUCUAGGUUCAAGGGCAAUACAUGGAGUAGAUAAGGCUUCAUGGACGCGUCAAAGGGCUUUGAAGGACUGACUCGCUAGUGCCCAGGGAUUGACCGGUGUAACUACUAAUUGACCUAAUAUCUGUCUUUUUCCACUGCCGGCUUAGUACCAUUACUGUAAGGAUGAUUGGUAUGCAGGGUUUAACAUUCAUGUAAAUCAAGAGAUUGACGGCUUUCAAACUAGCCAUUGUACCUGAAAGAGAAGUUGAUCUUCUUCUUUGGAGCUUGUUCUGGGUGACAAAGAGCAGCUUGCUUCUAUAAUUAUAUCAUUGCUCGACUCGAUGGAUACUUCUAGUGGUUUGACAGAGAAGCUGGAUGGUUUUUAUUUCUUUCAUUGGUGGCAUGGAGUCUUAGUGAGUUUGUUGGCACAGGUCGUGGUGUGGUAUGAUAGAAUUGUGAAAGGUAGGAUUGCGAUUGGAUGCUUCCGUUCUUCCCCUCCUGUCAUUUAAGGGCACCGAGCUUACAAUCACUAGUGAAAAGCCAAUUGACCCCGAGGCCUUGGCCAAGUUACGAGGAGGCGGAUAGAACCUCAAUCCCCUAUUAGGAACCUUCUCGAGAAACUCAAAAGACCAUAUGGAAAGCUGCUCCUGGUAGGAAAUUCUCUUAGGCAGCUGACGCUGCCCUUGCUCCUGCACGCACCAUUGGUAACCAAAGCUGUUGUAACGACUCGGCUGCAUCAGUUGUGGGAAUAAGUAACCUACCAAUAGUUUAUUAUCCGAUCGGCAUCUCGUUUGCCGCUGGCAGAAGGUUUGCUGGAAAUGAAUCAGACGUCCUAAUAAAGAAGGAAGACUGUGAUUAGUUCGAGGCGCUAGCUGUACUCUUUUGAGUAGCUGUGGUGGUACUUACUUUCGGUGGUAGAUCUUCUUGUCCGUCUGCUUCUGUUUAAGUAAGGAAUAAAGGCUUAUAGUUGAAUGGCACCGUCGAGAUCGAUUCAGAGUGAAACGGUUCCUCGCUAAAGAAAACCAACGCAAACAAAAGGGCAUUAGCACGAAGCAAAGACAUAGAGGGGCUAGCGCGCAGAGCAAUAGUAAGCUACUUAACUCGAGAAGAAGAAAGACGCUCUCGCUAGACUCAGAUAAUGAUAAAGAAAGAGCUCAUCUCUGGCCAAGCUAGCUCCGAUGCUCUGAGACUUCCAGAACAGUAUGAUAUUUCUUCACUGGCCUCACGAACCUCUCCGUAUGGCUGUGCUUUCGUCUUCCAACUCACUAGUCGUUACCCCAAUCAAUCUAAUACUAUGUUACGAGUACUCAGCCCCAUCACAUCUGGUUUUCUUGAAAGAAGAAAUUCCGUAUUUGGUUACUUUCGCUGUCUGGGAGUUCAUCUCCAUUCAUCACCCUCUUGAAGAAAGGGAAGCUAGAUUGGGUGGGGAAUGUUCGGCUGAGAGGAAUGAGCGUAGAAGGUUAAGCCCGAUUGGCAUCUCUGUAGUUACUGCAGUGGACUUAGGAUCGACCUUUUGUGAUGUUAGGAGCCCUUUUACCAGAAGAGAGGAUUAAGAUGGAGCCUAUUUACUUUGAAUGAAUUCAGAACAUCUGAAGAAGAAUAAAAGCUAGGAGUGAGGUUUUACGGGUCGGUCGGUACGGAGCAGAGAGUAUAGUAGGAAUUGACAUCCUUUCCUUCGUUUAAGGCGUGAGUCAAUAAGGAAGAAUGGCGAUCGCUUCCGAGAAAGCAUUCCUCCUUGUUGCUACACUACUGCCGUAUCUAUCCUAUUCGUUAACUAUAUUUCCUACCUCCACUUUGGGGGAAGGUUGGUUAGCUCUAUCGAACGAGGGUUAGGUUAGAAAACAAAGAAAGGGGGAAUUCGAAAAGACUAUUCAAAGAGUAGCGUCAAGCGUCGAUACUGACUUCAAGGAGACAUCAUAGAUGGAAGCGAGGUUUCUAUUUCAUAAAAGGUAGCGUAGCGGUUCAAGAGGGGGAGUCUCCUAGGAUUGAUUUAUCGUCAGGGUACCGAGUGGAAUCAGUUCUCUAGCGUAAAUCGACCGCUCUGCAGAAUCUCUUCACGGGGUACGAGAUCUCAUCCUCCUUUAAUAGGUAAUUCAUCCCUUUAUAAGGUGAGAUUCCAGUCUUUAUCUAAACAGACAUGAGCUCUAUGACCAAGUGAAAAGUGAAUUCGAAGGGCACUACUAAACAAGCUCUCGCUAAUACAAUACGGGGAGAACCCGGACAUGACCACUUCAUCAAUUCCCGUCUUAGUUUAGGGGGAAUGAAGAUACCGAAUAACUAAAGUCAGUUAGGGUGCCCAUGACCUGUAGCUUAUCUUUCCGUGGGGGCUUCUCUGCUUCAAUUGAGCAUCUUCACGACCACUGCUCGCACCUUCCCUUGGCAUCUAGGAAUUAGGAAUUAAGGCAGAUGAGUGGUUUUUUGAGGAAAGAAAGAGAUUGUACCUUUCUGACCCUUGUAAGAUCAAGGAACUGAAAGAACUACUAUCCAUAUAAUAUUAACUAGGGACUGGGAUUGCUACUACUAUAAAGGAGGAUGGGUCAAGGAUAGGUUGGGGACGAAACCAGAGUGGAUCUGCGCCAAAGCGGAGCCUCCGGAGAAGCCAACUCAAUGAAGAGAAGGAUCUUAGCGAACCAGAGCGAUUACACCCAAUGUGUUUUUCUAACCUUAAGCCAAAGUAGUAAGUAGUCAUUGUUCCUUAGUGCGACCUGUUGCGAGUAUUGGCGGAGGGCAUUAGUCUAGCAUCUUCUCUUUCCUUUCGGCUGGCUUAAUUAAGUAUUAGUCCGACCUCCUACGGCAGUAGCAGCAACUUACUCUUUUUUUGCCUCACUCCCCAAUUAGGCCAAAGUGCGUCAGGUUCAUUUCGGUGGGCCCGACAGUGGAAACGCAUCCAUGGGUCGUAGUUGUUGGUUAGGUAUAUGUUAGGAAAGAGCUUUCUUAAUAGUCGUGGGGGUCUGGGUAUACGGAUCCCAGCUUUCCGUCACUAAGGGCAUGGCGAUUUUCGUUGUUGGGAAAGAGGCAGAACUCCGACAAAACCUUUCGGAAAAGCGAGCUUUCAUUUGAAUAGUAGUCGUGCCUUCCUCGAGCCUUAUGUGUGGGGGGUCUAGUUAUGUUAUGCAGGGGUUGGACAAAGCAAACAACGCAAAGCAUGAUCACACGUCUUUUUUGGCAAUCAGAAGGCAGGAGGGCAAAGGCUUACUGGUGAGAGUCAAGUCAAAGCACUUUCUUUUAUUAAUACUCUUUCUGAAAACGAUAAUGAAGCUUCUCUUCUUGUUGAGGCCAGCCCGGUUGCUUCGUAAGUGAAUAGGGGUUUGUUUCGCUAAUGAAUUGGUUUUUGAGUUGUCGUGGUAUAAAUGGGGCGUGGUAUAAAAAAGCCCAUUGCCUUGUUGUUGUGUAGUUUUGAUUUGAUAGUGUUGGCGUCGGGAUUUCCUUAAGCGAGUUCAAGGAAGUGACGUGAAGGUUGCCUUAGGUAAGGAGCUGACGAGAGAAAGGUGUCGGAAUGGGGGAGAACUCUGGGCUAAGAGACUAUAUUAAGUGCUAGCGUAGCGGUAGAGCAAAUGGCAAUGAACCUUAUCUACUGUACUUGAGAACUGGAUACUUUAGCAAUAAAUUCCGUCUUGUGGGAAAGUCUUAAGUAUNNNNNNNNNNNNNNNNNNNNNNNNNNNNNNNNNNNNNNNNNNNNNNNNNNNNNNNNNNNNNNNNNNNNNNNNNNNNNNNNNNNNNNNNNNNNNNNNNNNNNNNNNNNNNNNNNNNNNNNNNNNNNNNNNNNNNNNNNNNNNNNNNNNNNNNNNNNNNNNNNNNNNNNNNNNNNNNNNNNNNNNNNNNNNNNNNNNNNNNNNNNNNNNNNNNAUUACCUUAACCCCGAUCCUGCCCUGCUUCAGCUUGGUUUCCGGAUUGAGUUAGCCUUUCCGAACCUUUGUUUUGCUUUCCAUUCCGAACCUUUGAUUAGAGUAGAGCGGUGCCCGAAUAGAAUAACUAAAGAGAAAAGAAGCUAGUGCACCAAUAAUGUCAGAAAGUCACUUGUCUCUAUUACUUGUUCUGGCAAACUCACAUUAGCCGAGAAAACUUGAGAAGAAUGAACUUACGCUGACGUAACUGGGUCUUGCUUAGCACCGUUGCUUGUGGGAACUGGCAAUACUGUAACUUCCCGCUGAAUCAUUAACUUCAUCUUUCACUUGCGCUACGUUUUCUUGAGACUCAAACUCUGCAUUAGAUUCGAGAUUAGGAUUCGGCCUUCUGUAUAAGAUGAAACUCAGACUGCUUCCUCACCAGAUUAAGCUUCUGCUUUAUACUUUGAUUCAAGAGUGAACUUUCCAAGCAUUUGAUUCAAGAGUGAACUUUCCAAGCACUGAACCUUGAGACUUGACUUGAGCAGUUGACGCACCGGCUUUAACACCUGAUUUACUUAAUGCAACACCAAGUAGAAAAGAUGGUGUUAGAGCUUUCUUGGACUCGAACGAAACUCAAUAAGGAGAUAGAUGCUUCACCGCAAGUAGGUAAAUAAGUGAUAGCGCAACGUAACAAGCAUGUGGUAGAGAAGUUAUGGAGCAAGCAAAGAAACAAACAAAUCAUUUAUGGAAUCUCUUAGCACCUUAUGAUUCAUAUUCCUCACCUGAUCCAGGCCAUUCUUCUAUUGUAAACUUCACAAGCACAGCACUGCUUAAGCGUUAGGUAGGCAUUCAAAAGGUGAACUCGAGACUCUCAUGCUGAUUGAAUUGCCAGGUAAGGUCUCGCUUAUCUAAGUUGGGCUGCUAACUUCCUUUAUACUGAACAAGAAUGAAUUGAAUCUCUAUCUCCCACGCAUGUAAGUCAUAUAUAUAUAUAUAGAAUCUAAAUUGAGAUCUCGCAAACAGGGAUCCGGGCAGAAGAUGACUCUGCUUUCGAGCUCAUAUACUAUUUUGCUCUGAUAACUCUGGGCUCGGAAAAGAAUAUUUAUCCUACUCUGAUUACCAACUAAAUAUCUAGAAGCUCUCGGUUACCUUAAGAGCUAUGUUAGCGCAAGCCUUGUAUUUUAGACUACUGAAAUGGAGUUAGAAUAGCCUGUAGUGGGGCAUUAGCAAAAAGAGUCGUUAACAAAGCGGAAACGCCCAGAAAUGGGAGUUGACACAACUUACUUUACCUAUAAUAGUGCUUGAACACCUGAUUGAGAGCGCAGAAAAGAAUAUCAUUGAAAUGGAACUGACACUGCAUGGUCAACAAGAACAAGAACUGGCAAUUAGAAAGCUUUUGAUAUUGAUCUAGCUUCUCUACACUUGAAGAACCGAACAAGUAAAAGGAUUAAUUGAACCUUUCGAGCGCAUGUAUAUAUAUAUAAGUAAUAUGACCCUUUCCUUUAUCUAUACUCAACGAUACUAUCUUCUUUAUACGCUUUCUUACCAACAGAGGACGGACGGAGAUCAUCUUUACGAUUCAACGGAUUUACUUAGGAAGAACAAAAAACGGAAUCACCUACUUACUUAUAAAUACGCUUCCCCUUACCCGAAAACAAUACUGGAACUUUCCCUACCACUUGAAGCCUCUGAUCCCGAUCUUGAUUCCUCUGAUUCUAACACCUCUGCCUCAGAUUCCGAUCCAGCUUCCAAGCCCGUAGUUGCUUCUAAUCUUUAUAGGGCUUCUUCUAUUUCUCCUGUUGAAGAUACUAUUCCAGUUUUUGCCUCUUUCUUCUCUUUACGACUUAGCUCUAACUGCUUCCUUUCACCCAGCUUGAACUUCAUCUUUCUCGUAAAGCUUUGGAUCUCGAAUACUUUCAUUGCACUGCUGAUAUAUGGGAGACUUUUUGUCUCGCUUACUGCUUACUUUGGCACUGAUCCAGAUCUUUCAUUUGGAGUUCACUCUCCUGUUACCAAAAUCUAUACAAUGCUAGUGCAAUUCCAUUCUCCGCCAACGGGAGCUCAAAGUCAUAGCGUUCUUUGUGCGAGUAAAGUAACCAAGAGAAUCCACUGUUGAAAGUAGAGUUAGGGAUGCAUCUAUUUAAGGAAGAGUCAGGGAACCAGCAGAAUAGCCCAGAUUAUCCAGCUCCACAGAAUGGGAUUUCAGAAUAUCAUAUAGAUUGUGACUCUAGUAUAGAUAAAGUAAUUCGCCAAGCGUAUACUAGAUCAGAACCAACUUACUACACUUUUAUGCUUGGCUCUUGUUGUUGGCAAAGGCGAAAUGGGCACUCCGACUACUAUACCUCUAAAACGGAUACUAGCAAUCCGGAAAGCGGAAAGGUAGGCUCACAAUUCCUAAGCUAACACAUUAGGUAUAAGAAUAGAGAAUAGAAAGUACUAGGAGCAGGCGAGGGAGCAACUGAAUAAGUCUUGUUCAUUAGCAGUUACUUGUGUAGUAGUUACUAGUUUGGUUUACAGCUCGUAAUCAGGGCUAUGGGUGCUGAGGUGAAGAAAGAAUAAGGGAUGAGCCUUUCCAGCGGCGAAGGCUAGAAAUUGAUAUAAGACUCAAACGGUCGGUCUUUGAAUCUAUCUCCUGCUCUUCUAUUAAUGAUAGUACUUGUGUAAUAGGCACAUAUAGGGAUUGGAUUUCCGUUGGGGGAUUUUGAGGGGUACAUACGAUGCGUAUAACGUGCUCAUAUUGACAAGUUAGGAGCUUCCCCCUUUAAUAACUAAUGGAGUUUCUGAAUCUAAUUGAUCUUCCCGCUCUCAAGUUAGGAGCUUCCUCCUGACAUAACUAGUGGAGUUUCUGAAUCUAAUUGAUCUUCCCGCUCUUCUGUCUGUCAUCUGUAAACUGGUAAGGGUAGCAUCUGUCCCGUGGGCGGUCGCUCAUCCCUCCACGAAGAACUGUCCUCUAGGCUUCAGUUAUGAGUGCAUUUUCUCUCUUUUUGCAUUCAUUGCUACUUCAUCAAUCUGACUUAUUAGUUUACCCCCUUGUAUUUGCUUCUCCUGAUGUUUGGUCGAGUAAUCCCAAUAUUGUAUUUUCUGGUACAUAAUUUAGGAUUGGAUGAGUAUUUCUGGUAGGUAAAGUCUAUCAUAUCUGGUCACCUCUGAUAUUCACCCUUAACCUUGAUACUCAGAUUCUUCUCAAACGAAUUGAAGAUAUCUCUAAUUAUCUUUCUUUGUUCUAUACUCAACACUCUUAUUAGAUGCCCUUUCUACUUAACCGACAAGACAAACUGAAUGAAUUGCCUUAACCGAACAAGCAACAGUCAUAUUCAAUGAGAGUAGACCGAGAAAGCCAGUACGUACUAUCUAUUUGCCCGAACGAUACUUGCAAAACCAGAGGAGCGGGCACGGCACCUCUUAUUCUUAUUCUCUCAUUGACAACAGAACUUGGUUGGGCUAAGGGAAACUCGGAAAGCUACCUAUCUAUGCUUGAAGAAGAGAAUUGGAGUGCACAUAGGCUAAAGUCACUAGUAAACUCAUCUAUUACUGCUGCUGGCUUGAAUGAAUCUUUGCUUUGCACUGCUUACUUCGGAGGGUGGGUUCAACUUCUAGAAAUAGGGGUUAUGAUCCCGAUCCAGCUCUUUCAAUUCGAACGGAUUCUUCUUUGUAAACUGCGGCUUCUCCUUUAAACUGAGUCUUCUCCUUUCGAUGUAUACUUUCCAUGUAUAGUACCUGUUAGUUCUCACUUAGUAUUACUUAAAACCUUACACUCCAUUCUUAAAGGAAGGAGUGCUAAUGCUCUAAAGUAGUCAAGUCAUAAUGCAAUUAGAGAGUCGCCAACAAGCACAGAUUAUACAGAUCCAGAGAUACAGCAGAUAAUCUUUCUGACCUUGGUUUAGCACUGUUUGCACUCCAUUCUUUAGUUCAAUACCUGUAAACUCUCUUCAGUAUGCAGAAGAUGGGUCAUACACCUUUACUCAGUAACAAUGCGGCUGGGCUGCCUCGCAACAAGUAACUCGCUUUAGCGCCUAUAAAACUGGUCUUGCACGGCUUGUCUAGUAGUGUAUUGGCCAAUAUAAAUGAUAUAUUAUCUUUGAUAAGAAAUGGAAUUGAUGUUUUCCAACUUACUUAAGAGUUUAUUGCGCCUGUAGCAUGAGAAAAAAGAUCUGAUAUCAUUUGUGACUUAGCACCGACAGAUUCCACUCGGGGCAACUUACUAUAAGGGCCUCAACUCGCACUCUCUCCUUGGAGCGUAAAAAGACUUUCUUUCUUGCCUUACUGAGUGGGCUUAUACUAACUGCUUAUUGGAAGGUUAUGACCAUUAUUCAGCAUCUGAAGUUGCUGGUUCAGAGGAUCUGCCUUCCCUCGCCCACUUAUUAUAUUCCUAGAUUGAUUCCCAACUGACAACCCUCGCUACUUUCUAUGACAAUUGAACUACUGAGACUCGAUACCCUCAUUUCUAUACUAUCAAAUUAGUUCUUUCAAAUCUGUAGAUUUUUUGCAUGUCCAAGCUAGGAAGAGAGCAAACCCGCUUUCAAUUGAAUUCAAAGAGGCUUUUCUAGUGGUUUCAUUCGCCUUAUGUUUCUAGUUUCAUGUAGAAGACCGGCAAUCCGGGUAGGUAGUAGCGACCAGGCCAGUUCCAGACUUUAGCCCAGUAGCAGACUUUAGCCCUUAUUGGAAAACUGCAUUGGUUUUUCUGUUAACUCGCCAAGCAACUACGUAACUUAUUUAGUAGGGGCCAAGCUAACCUUAGCAAGAAGUGGUGACGAAGAAAGGACACAGUUAUGACCGACAAGCAACUUCUUCACUCUUGAAUUCCUAAGAGACCACUUGAUUUCCUUCCCGCUUCUAAGCCUCCAACAAAGGACAAUGCCUACCGGUCUUCUCUCUCUUGCACCUCACUAUAAAGAAAGCUUGCCCCAACUCUUGACUACACCGGACAGAGGAUUUAUUACUUACGGAGCCAAUUAUACUUAAGGGCACAGGAUUUGAAGAAGAAAGAGAUGUUACCUAUUGUACUGAGCCUCAUGAAGUUAGAAACCCCUCUCCCUCUUUUUGCCGGUAACCAGAGUAGUACUAAAGCGAUGCACUGACAAUGCUAACUCUUUCUCGGGUAUAGUAAGUCAAGAAUCUAAAGUAAAGUAUCUGACCCCAUCCCAUGGAAUAUUCUCCAUCACCAACUCCUAGGGCUUUCGAAAGAGAAGAAAGAGAGGUGAUAUCACAGUCUCUUCGAGCGGGGCAGUGCAUCAAUCCUUCGAUUUCCACCCUUAGAAUAUUAAGAACAAUUAUGGUUCAAGUCACCCCUUAGAGUUCGAGUCACCCCUUAUCAUAUUAAUAGAAUCUAAGAUCAUAUAAGGAGAAUAAAAACACUUUAGAGCAAUUGUUUGACUUACAAUUGUAUGAAUCUGAAGAAGUACACUAUAUUUGAAGAUGGAUUUCUCAGCUCGUAAUGCUUGUAAACGAUUUGACCUUGUCCACGCCACCGUUAAGUAUUUCCCAAUCCCAUUUGGAUGUCUUUGCUGGAGCACUAAGUCAUUCCCAAUCCUAUUUGUAUUUUGAUAUCCUUGCUGGAACACUAGAACCUAUUGUAUCAUCAAGUCCUUGGUAAAUGGUGAACAAUUCUGAUUCUUCUUGAUUUGUUUCCGCUACAUACUCCCAACCAACACCAUCCAUCUAGGGAGCUGCCGAAUAACCUUUAUUUGGAUGCAUAAUAUAUCACUCAUUUGUAAAUCUAGGGAUUUGGUGAUUGGAAGGGUGCUUGAGUAGGUUGAACUUGGCUCUGAUACAAAAUGUUGAAAAGGCUAGGGGGAAGAGCUGGAGCUUAAGACAAAGAUAGGAAGGGGUGUAUUACUCACUCACUAUUACUAGAACUCUAUGGCCCUCAUUGCACAAUAAGCAUGGAUGGGGGGGGGGUUCGGUUCAUAUAAGUCCCUACCGAGAUACAGGUUCAUAUAAGUCCCUAUCGCAAAUAGCAUACAAGGAAGAUUAAUGAAAUCCAUAAUGAAAUCAAUAUCCAAUAUAUUAAGUAAGAUAUGGUAAUAUAAGAAGAAUAAUAAGAUAUGGUGUAAUAUAUUUGUCAAAGAAGAUUCUAUGGGAUUCUAUGUUAUCUAAUAUAUUUGUUAUUUCAUCUUUCAAGAACCAAUAUGAAUUUGCCCUAUAGGGCCUUAAAUGUAUUUAACCUCUCAAUACAAUGAUUAUAUGAAUGGUGUUUUGUAAGAAGGUCAUUCCAACAAUGAGUACUUAAAGGCUCCUCUAAAUAACUGGUAUGACUAUCGCAAUCGUGAGCAUCAGCAUGUAGGUAGGUUCCAGAUCAAAGUGGUAGUAUCGUCUCAGGGCCCUUAGCUAUUGCUCUUGAGGCCCAUUCCUCGAAAGAAAUACGUUUUUAUGGGAUUCCCUAUAAAGAAAUCCGUUUGGCCUAUAUUAUGACAACACAAACAAUUAGCACUUCUGGUUCCGGCAAACGAAUAAUUAUGUAAGUCCUCCUCUUUCCGGACAACACAUACAAAGAGACCCGCCAACAGUCAAGUUUGAAGUUACCUUCUGAAAGAUAACUAGAUUUGGAAUGGGCCAAGCAACUACGCAGCGUUAGAAACCCAGUUGCGCUUAAGGGAGUUCAGCAAGACGUUGUGCAACAAGUAUGAGUGAGUUUCAAGUCCUUUUUCUGGCUAAUGCGAGCUUUUGCUGUGACUUUUCCACUUGUUCCUCUGCAUGUUCUCUCCACUUUCUCUAAGAGAAUCCAUAAUAUCGUCCACUCAUAUUCAAUACACAAACAGUAUUCUAUCUCUUAACCAUGUACUCCAGCUAAGCUAUCGGCACCCGUCAUCCAUACAAUCAUCUUUCUUUCUUUCCUUGACGCUCUUUGGGUUCUUAUUCAUGGAGUGCACAUCUUCUAUCACAGAUUAUAAAACCAACCCUUCUAAACUCACUGCAUUGCUUCCUUUUCUAUAAGUAUAUUUCUCAAAACACUUCUGAUUUGACUUUCCGCUUUUCAUAGUAGUCAAAAAGAAUGGUUAUUAAAGAAACUCCUAUUCAUAGUAUACCGAAAUGUGUCCAUCAGCAGCCUUGGUUCUAUUUCAUCUCUUUAACAGAGAAAGCAAAGGAGGUAAAGGGGGUUUGUCAGAGAGAAUAGGGGCAUAGAGGUGGCAACUGAGCCUAAUAGGGCAAAGCAAAGACACUUUUCUCUGAUUCAGCUAAUCUCGGAUAGACUGGAGUCAAGAAUCAAACCUUAUAUAGAGCCAGCCGGCCAUAUAUAUACAUCUUUUUGAUAGAAUUUCUAGAAUAGAAGCAGCUCAUAAUUGACUGCUUUAGUUUGCUCGAUGCAGUUUCGAAUCGAAAGCUCAAAAAGGAAGCAAGCAGAACUGUUUACUCUCAGUCAGCUUCACCGCCCUGUUCAUCAUAAGAAAUCAAUCAAGCUUCAUCCUUCCGAAGUGAGAGAGAGUGCAAUAGGAGAACCAAAGCAAUAGAGAAAGAGAGUGCAAUAGAGAACCAAAGCAAUACUCUACUUCAGUACAACGCGCAGUUCUUGGUGUUAUAGAAAUAGUAUAUUCAUUCUAGCCGCCUAGCCUAAUUCAAUCUACUGACAGUCAAGAGUAUAUUCAUUCUAACCUAAUUCCAUCUAUGGAUUCCCGCCUGUGCUUUGUAUCAGAAGAAUUGGCGCUUUCUUAUCCUUAUGACAGUAGAUACUACUCGAAUAAAAAGGUUAAGGUUGAAACUCAAUCCGGACUUGAUUGUAGGAUUCCGCUGGUGAAAUGCAAUCUCCCCUUCGAAAGGUAUUGGCAAUCGAUUUGAUCUUGCUUGUAUUUGAUAGGCACACGGAAUUGGGAUUUAUCUAUUCUAUUCCGCUUCCUGAGAAUUGGGAUUUAUCUAUUCUAUUCCGCUUCCUCAAUUAUAUAUCAGAAAAUGGGAUUAUUUUAUAUGACCCAUUCAGACGGAUCUAUUUGAAUAGCUGGUUUUACGCGAAAGAGAUUGAUUUUGCCUAAAGCCUCAUUCGAAGAAAAUACUAGACUAUAUAUAUAUUAGUAAAGUAAGCUGUUGAAUGAGCCGCUGUCCCCGAAAGAGUUCUGGAGCGAAGGUAAGAAAGCAUAGCUUUAGAGAUCCACCCUACAAUAUGGGGUAAAAGCCAAAAGAAGUCAAUCGUUUUUAGCCACGAGAGCAUCAAAUUAGCAAGUGCUCAAUUCUUCUUAUACAACUAUCAUGCCAAGAAAUCCAAGUGUUCUUAUACAACUCGUGCCGAGAAAUCCAAGUGUUAACCUCAGCGAGUCCGGCUUGCUCUUGCGCCGAAGAUGAACGGGUCGAAGUUCAGAGCAGUAAAGGUGUUUGUUUCAGUAGAAGUCGGUUAUGCAUCGGUACCAGCUCUUUCAACUCUAAUCUCAAUUUCCUCAUGAACUGAUGCCAUACAUCUAACUAUUGGGAAUGCACCGUAACCUAGAAACUAAACGGAGAUUACACAAGCACCGGAACUAUACUUGAGAACAGGCCAUUCUACUGCUGACAAGCGCACGGAAGUGUUUUUCACUAGAUUCUCUCUUAGGGACACGCUAUCUUCAAUUCCAUGGAAACUGCCUACUUUCACAACAUUCCGGAUAAUGGAUUCAUAGCAUCUCCUCUCCUGCCUUCUACUGUAAAGGAAGUCAAGCUGCCUGUUUACAAAUGAGUCUAUACUCUUAUGACUUUUUCUUGUUCUGUUGACCUUAGAAAGCAAUGCUGUGUGACGAAUGGAGUUCGGGAUGCCGAUAUAAGUUUGUUAUGAUUGUUCCCUCCGUAAAACUAGAUACGUUGCUUGUUCCUCUAAGUGCUAAUUAUGACUAUAGUGGCGGGUGCUUUAGCUAAUUAUUGAAGAACUUCUAGAAGAGGGUGCUCUACUUAUAGAAUGAAGAACGUUACAACACUCGAAACUCUCUAACGCGUAACUGAAUCAACAAGCUUUGUAGCUCACCGCUCGCUAACAGAGUUUGCCGGAACAAGAAUGACUCAAUGGGCACCCCUGAACAAAAGAAUGGAAUAUAAGUCCCACAUCUUCCAUAAAUAGAGUAAGCUCACUCCGCUCUGCUCUGCCAAUAAACGCUACCGCUUAAUAACACUCGCAUUCUAUAUAAUCUAAGUAAGAGAAAGAAAGAGGGUUUGUUUGCCCCUGAGAAUCAAGUAAGAGAAAGAAGGUUAGCCCCAAGCCCAGAGAAUCCUGUUUAUUUCCUUAGAGAAAGAAAGAAGGUUAGCCCUAGAGAAUCAAGUGGAUUUCCCCUGCCUUUUGAUAUUCUGUGUUAUAGGGCGGUAGGUAAUAGUCAGCUGGCAGUAGAGUGAAAGUUGCAUUUCUACAUCUAAUAACUAACUUGUUAAGAGUAUAAUAACUCGAAAGUAGACAUAUUCCAGCUCGAAAGUAGACAUAUUCCAGAAUGAGUAGUACUCAAAACUCCUAUUCAAGACUCACUCACUAGGGCACAACGGGAAAAUCCAGAAGCAAAUAGAAUGAUGCGCGUUAGUCAUGGCUUAAGCUAGCCUAAUUUAGAAAGAAGCAAUUGAGUCAGUUCUGUUCUGUAAUUCUAAGAAAGAUGCAAGUCUUGUCUACGAGAUAUCUUCAAGUAAGUACUUCCGUAGAAUGGUAGUUCUUGUGCGGAAGAACUCUGUUAGCACAACGAAACGUAGCCGAGUACUCUUAUGAAAUAAGAUAUACCCUUUGUUUGCUUGCUGGUUCUAUAAACUCCAUACCAUCCAAUAAGCCGCGUUGGUGAAUGUCAGUGCGCCUAUUCUAUAAGAGAUUCAGAACCCUGCGUAACUGUUUUCAUUGUCCUUAAUUAUAUAGCCUUGUUGCUUCUUGCUUGAUAGACUCCAUUUAAAGAGUAACAAAUAUAGAAUGAAAGUGGACGAUGACUCUUUCUUGAAGUGAGAAUAUCGGCACCGCUAUCCCUAUAGAGAAGCAAGCCCUUGUGCCUUAGUGUGCAAAAGCCAUUGUUGCUUGUUCCGUUGUGCUAACGUAUGCGAAAGCCGUUGUUGCUUCUUUCAUCAAAUCUCACUAAUUUCAUCUAGCUACUCUUUCAUCAAAUCUCACUAAUUUCAUCUAGCUACACUACUUUAGAUUCCAGUAAAAACACAGUUCUGACUCACUUAGCUAAGAGCAUUGCUAGCUUUAAGACAGUACUUAGCUUCAUAAACACUCUUUUUUGAUUCAUUGGAAAAACCACUUCUUUAGAAAAUGACAAAUAGCCCGGCAUAAGAGAAGCUUAUUAAGGAGAGAACCCAUUGUAUACCGCUGUGUAUUGUAGAAGCAUAGCCUUAAUAACGGAUUGAACUAGUAGCAUAGCACUUACUCUUCCAGCCAUCGAAAACACUUUCCUUUCCCUUUCCAGCCCACCCAUACAGAAAGUCUCGAUUGAGAACCUUCCUUAUCAGCAAUAGCUUACAAAUGCUCCACUUUAAGCUUGAAUAAUAGGAUAGGAAACUCCGGUAGAAUAAUAAUAAUACAGAAGAUUGAGGGUAAUAGUACUCAUAUAUGGAAUAAUAGAAUCAAGGGUAUAAGAGUCCCGAAAUAAAAGGAUGGAAUGCACACUAUUGCGUCUAGAAGGAGGAGGAUUCGCCCCAAAAGUCAAGUGGACUUGCAGCCAUUAACAAUGGAAUUUGGCCAGAGGCUGAUGCCCCAUAAGAAUCUAAGAAACACUUCUGAUUCCUCGACCUGGGUGGAUAGGCUUAGGACAAAAAUAGGUGGAUUGAGGUUCUCUAGUGUGUCAGCAUCUCUUUCCUCUUCCUCACAGUUCAUUAGUUUACCAAUCCGUAGAAUCAAUGAAUAGGAACAUUGGGCAUCCCUAAAUCAAAAAGGAGCAAGACGGCUGUAAUCUGAGACGGUCAUCAACGGUUGGUCGAGGUUUUCACGCGGAUCGAUCGGGUCAAGCCGUAGUUGUUGGUACUCGGACCUCAUGCGACGUCGAUGCUAAGGUUGGCUCCAUACUAGGAUGAGUUUUCUGAUUUCUUCGAGAUUGGACUUAGAGAGCUUUUCUCAAUGAAAAAACGGAUGACAAAUACCAAGGAGGUGAACUUGAGCGGAGACAAGUCCUCGUAUAAAACGUUCACUGUCAUUCCAGGUACCAAGUCCGUGUUCGUUGCCAUACUCUGGUAAUCUAGCUUAAACAAGAAUAAGCUGUGAGAGAGAGGAGCCCCGCCGCCCGCAUCAUUGACUUUCCUUAGUGAUUUUGUAUGUAGUGGCCAUCCAUUGUAAUCUGCUUGCUUUACUGUCCCAGCCUCUUCUGAAAGAAACUAUAAAGUCAAGUCGUUAAAGAGAAAUAAGGGAGUUGAGUUGAAUUGAGUUGAGUGGGCUAAGAUUAUGCUCUUCUAUUAGAUGCGCACUUUCUUCUUAUUAUCUUCAUAUUCUUGGUGAGAGUGGUUUGAAUCAAUAAUGUUGAUGAUACAUAUAGAAUAACCAAACAAUGCUUACUUAAAGUCAAGGGUAAGGAAAUAAGGGUAAGGCGAGAAAGAAUCAACGUAUUAGCAAGAAACAAGCAGACGCCAAGUCACUACUCAUUUUGGACAGAGCCAUGUUUCAUACACACUAAAUACAUUUAUGGAACGGGGAAGAUAAGUAGAUAGGUAUUUUCCCAUUCGUCUUGUCUGCGUGGCCCUCAGUUGCCUUUUCGUAGUUGCUCGUCGAGUUUCAUUGCCAGUUUAGAGUUGGAUUCCCGGAUAGAAAUCUCUAUUCUUCUACUAUGGAGUUUCAUUCUGCAUUUUCUAUUUUCUGGUUAUUAGUAUCCGGACUUGCUUGUUCCAUUCCAUAUAUAGAGUAUCAGCUCAAGUCUUGUUAUCGCUAGUUUCAAGUUUGAAAGCGAGUAGUGGAAGGCCGAGAAAGGGAAUAAGGAAUGAGUGCAAAGGGGUAACGGCUGAGUUCCGGGGAGGCUAAUACAUCUACAUAGUGAGGAAGAACUAACCUAAGAACCAAUAAGAAUGCCGGGGACAACUACAAGAGUGAAACCAAAGAUAGUCAGAAUAAUCGCUAGUAAAGGAAGACUUCAUAUAAGGAAAUGUUGGGCUACCUCGAAAUAGGGAAUUUAGGGCAGUAAGGGAUGUUUUCAAGAAUCAAUCAAGAAUGAGAUAAGAUGUAUUCUGUUUUAUGGAUAUGGUUGUAAGGCCUCUCUAGUAGACAGAGUUGGAAGUAGCCAGAGUAGGAAGAAUCAAAGCUAGUGGUUAAAGAAUAGAAAUACUGGGGGUUGAGUCCGCCUUCUGUAAUUAAAUGAAAUCAUGAAAUCAAACUAUCCAUUAUCACCCAAAGAAAUAGAAUAGAGAAAAUAUCAUUAUCUAAGGAGAGUGUUUCCGAGUUUAGAUAGUAGAUUCCCUAUCAUUUGAGUUUACCUUGACUUUCACUACUCUUCUUCUGGCCUGAUGGUGCAGGUUUUAGGGCGCUUUGUUAUUGUUUGUUACGGAGUGUCUUAGUGUUAUAAAGAUAUAUGUGACUUGCCCCUCUAUUAAAGCUGCCUUUGUUCUUCUUGUUGAAAAGGACGGGUGGCUUACGCCCGAAUAAAGGACUCAGUUCUGGUUUAAUCUCCAUAAAGAAGUAGUUCUGUCAUUUACAGCCGAGAAUCAGCAUCAGCUGUUAGAAAGUAAUCCUUUUUGUUUGUGCGACUAGAGAGUAUGAGGUGUAACUCGCUAACUGAGUUCUUUCCAAAACAAUUCCUAUUUUUUUCUAUUAUGGAGCAAAAGGGAAGCAUUGAGUUUUUCAUAUGUGUCCUCCUCCAACAGCGAACUUUCCUGUUUUCGUAUCUGCUAAGGCGUCAGUGAUUUCUUUUCCAGUAAUUCGAGCCUCUAGCAUCUUAUGUUUUGGCUUCAUAGCUCAAAAGGAAAGAAGAAAUUGGGCAAAGCUAACCUUAGGAAGAACCGGGCCAAGUUAACGCCGCAACUACUAUGGUAAAGGAGAUAGGUCGGGGCGGAACUCCUCACUCUGGUAUUUAAUAAAACAACUAUAACAUAUAGGAAAGUAUUACUUACAAAUAAAGAUACAAGUAAAGACAGGUAAGAAUGGAGGUAGAUGAAAAAGCAGGUCGAGUAAUUGAACAGAGGUUUCAUAGAGCUAAUGGCAAAUUACCUCACAACAAGUAGCUUGGCCCCGUGGUGAGGAUAAAGAAUGUUACAGAUAAAAAGCAAAAAACUCGUUAUGGAACGGUAAACACAGUCUGAGAAGGGAAUAGGAACAUACAUGGAGAGACACCGGUAAGAACUAGAGUACCCAUACAUCAUCAUGUAUCAACUCAAAGGAAGCAGAGGACCGUAUAUUUCAUAUAUCAGGAUAAUACUUCUUUAUUAGUUUAGCAAAACAACAACAAGUCUCAAACAAAGAAACAAAGAAAGAAUUGGCAAUACUGAGAUAACAUGCUUUUAAGAACUGAAGGCGGGGCAUGGCCAAGUAGAAGAUGCAUGUCCAUAGGAGAUGUACUUGGCACAGGUCAGCGGUGCAGGAUCCAGCACGUAAACACCGUCCACCACUCUUGUAAAGAGUGCUAUGUAUCGUAAGCUCCUAAAAAACACAACACUCAGGGAUUCGGGGAGUAGGAAACGGAAUUGAAGGUAGGAAAGUCAGAUCAGGAUCGAAAGCAUAAGCUGUUUCAAUAGAAUAAGUGCGUCAAUGGCGUCUGGUAUAGUUGUUUCAUGAUUUGCGCUAACUGGAGUUGUGGAUUUUACAGGAGUUGUUGAUUUGACUGUUUGACUUGACCGCCCUUGUGACUAAUAUAACUCUCUUUACAGCUAGGUGAAUUAGAUCUGAGAACUGGAAUAAAGUGGAAAUGAAACAAGGCGAUCCGCAAGAGAUAGAUUCAAUGAUGAACUUCAAGUAGAGGUCCUUUACUGUUAAUAACACUUUCUGAGUGCCUCUUUGUCCCAAUAUCCCUGAAAGAAGUGAAACCUAUACUCGCACAAAGCCAUUAUUGAAAAACGACACCCACCUGUGCACUCAUUCCUAUUACGAAAGGAAGUAUUCUCCCAGGGAUUGAUUAGGGACCUAUACAGGACAGUUAGACUACAUCUAAACCCGAUGGAUUACCUUAAGUGAAGGAUCCCAUGUUGCCUUUUGCAUUUCAUUUAGAUACUAUGUCCGGGCGGGCCCCCCACAAAUGAACUCUUUCGCGCCGCAUUACCACCUUUUUGAAGAUAGUCUUGUAUCCAUUACUACCAUCUUUCGUUACUUUAUUCAAGGUUAGCACCAACAUUUAUUCCCUGCCGCGAAGGCUUAUACCAGCUCCGAUUGAGCCCCCGAGAUGAAAAGCACUACACGGAGAACCCAGCUAACAGAGGUAAGACGUGAAAUAGAGAUAGUUUAUAGCUUACAUUAGUGGUGUUUAGUAGGAUGACUCUAGCUUACAUUAGUGGUGUUUAGUAGGAUGACUCUAGCUUACAUUAGUGGUGUUUAGUAGGAUGACUCGACUUCCACUUAUGCUCUUUGAACACAAACUACACUUUCAACAGGCUCCUUAGCGCAACUUAAAACAAAGCUUGUCUGUUACUUGGAGGGUAUGAUGUAGCGCAUACUGCUAAUAACUAUAAGAUAUAAGAAAGGAACUACUGCCCCAACUAACAGGGCUUUAACUCAAAACUAGUAACAGGUACUGGGCCUUACUUGUCAUUAGCCAACCCUUACUUUUAUUCAUUUCAUUCUAUAGCUUACUGAACGGGAACCCUGCUCUACUGCCUAUAAUAAGCCUGUCGCUACUUGCUUUGAUUCCAACUACUCGGACACUGAAUCUAUAUCUCUUUGCUUUCGUUCUUUUAUAUAUGUUGAUGUUAUUAAUUGAAGUAUUCCUUCCACGUAUAUUAGAGUGGGUUUUGUCACUUAUUCGCUCUCUUAUGAUAGUAAUUAGCAUUAGAUACAUUCUCUUAUAUAGUAGGUAUCGUUGGGGUCUCUCACUAAGAUAGGACAGAGUGCAACUCAAUAGUAAGCACAUUCAAUCAGUACCCUGUGGUGGGCAAGAUCAGAAGCCGACUCCUCACUUCUAAUAUAUAACUCAGUGGAUCAAAUUCCAAAGGAAGAAGAAAAGAACCACUAGCGCCCAGACAACCCCCAUUCUUUUACCUGUGAAUUAGAGCCUGCCAUUCCCAACUCUCACUCUUCAGCACUGGCCAACAAACCUUACUUACAAACAAUAAGCCCUUACUGACUUUUCUUCUUUAAACAAUGAUUCAGAUCUUUGCUUUUAAACUGACAUCACAUCACUACUAACAGGACUUUCACUGCUGUCUUCCAUUCUCUGUACUUGGGUAACUAUCCCUUAUUACCCCACUGCUUUACUUAGAUCGAUGGGUCUGGUCUCAUUCUAAACACUACCUUAUACUAGGCCUACUUCCCUUGCUUUCACUCUGAUACUAAUGCUACCUUUACUUUAACAGGAAACUGGGGCUUAGCUGACUGCUACUGCUAACGAGAGAAUCAACCCUGUACUGACAAGAAUGAGCCUGGGAAUAAAGAAGAAAGGUCUCCACUACAAGACCAAGGCAGAAAAAAGAGAGAAUGAAACCCUGCUGUCCAGGCCUUAUGUCGUCUAUACUGCGAAAAGCCUUAUUCACCUCACUCAGCAGUCCACGCCUUACUUCCUUAUACACCACUCCAGACUUGUUCCUUUCAUUCCUAUGCUAUGUGGUGCAGCCUCAUUCUCUGACUGACUCCCGUAAUUCUUGUACUUAUUAACCUCCUCCUUGCUUUGUCGCUUCAAACUACCUCUCCAGUUUCCAGUGAAAUUACUGUUAGCACUAGCGCGAGCCUAUAUCCCAGAGAGCGGUAUUCUACUUAUGAGUUCAAUCCUGAUGCGCUUUUUUCUUCUUUUACUUACUACUCUUGGGCUUAGCCCGGGUAUACUCACUUACAUAGGUAGCAUUCCUAUUAGUUAUGGUUUGAUUCUCUUACUGGUAUGGAUUUGAUUCUCUUAUUUGCAGUAGUAGUAGAUUGAUUCCCAAGUUCUAUUCUUUUCGGCAGAGUGAUAUUAGCCUAAUAGUUGUCGGUAGCAUUCCCAGUUUCGAGUUAUCACAGUAGAACCUCUGUGAACUGUUUCUUAUUCUUGAGCUGCUGAUCCCAAGCCCGAUACACCUUUCUUUAAGUCUUGCUUUACUGUCUAUCGGCCUAUGUCUCUUUGCUUUCAAGCUGGAACUGCUCACCUCAAACUCUGAUAAUAAUAAUAAUGAGUUUGGUUCUUUCUAUCGCAUAGCACCUGUUCUCUUUUUAUUACUAGUUGGAUUCUAACAGUAUGGGGCACUAUAUCUUAUUCUAAGUAUAAGUAAAUAACACUACAGGUCAAAGAGGCACAUAAGAAUUUCCGUAAUAAGUAUAAGGAUGAGAUAAAGCAAUGUCAGUUUGCAAGCGAAUAGUGGAGGAGCCGGUAAAGCAAGGAUCUGAUUUCGUAUUUCAAGAAUAGAGGUCAGGUUGGAAAAGAGCUAAAGCAAAGGUGCAAUCUGUAUUUAAAGAAAGAAAAGCAGCAACAGCUCCCUUAGGGAAAUGGGUAGUAAGCCUCAUAUAAGGGAGCUUUGGAGUGAAAGUCAAGAGUGAGGUUUGGACUGCUAUUAGGUGUUGGUUGUUGGACUACUACUAUCUGAUCGAGUUCUUAUAUUGAUUAGUGACAUACUGGAUGCGCUAGAGCGUACCCAUAUUCUUAUUCCGGAGUUCUAAAGAUGUAUAAACAAGUCAAGAAUGAGGGUCGAUAUCCUUUUUCUCAGUUUCCGGACUUUAGGUUCUCCUAUCUGAUGUCCCUUCCCUUGACCACCUAUCCUCUUGCUCCUCUGUCUCAUCUCCCUCCUUGUAAUGAUUCUGUUUCUUCAAUUCCCCAAUUGAUUCUGCGUUAUGACAAUUCCUGUCUUCAUCCUCAAUUUAUGUGUUCGGCAGGCAAGCUACUACUCUGCUUUACCCGCUUCUGGCUUCUGAUCUUAAAGACAAUCAAUCAGACCGACCAUGCUUGUGGUAAGACCUAUGUUCUUAGUGGCCCACGGAGCACCCACGUAGCGGUAAAGAACAGGAAAAGCUUUAUCCACUUAAGUCCAAGGAAGGAGUUACAGCACCCUGCAUAAGAACCAGUUAUUCUGCCCCGAUCUCUCUCUAUUUGAAUGAAAACAGGCGGACUUCUCUUGUAACUACUGAUUCUCGGGUUACUAUUAACUGAAUUAGGCUAGGCUCCUCUCUUAACCAACCCGACCUCAACUCUGUUAACUAAGACUUUUAUUGCUCCCGAGCACAUAGCAAGUAGGCAAGCUGCCUUAAUAAGUAAGGGUUCAACUAGUUGACUUACUGCUACUCUGGUAUUGUAUAAGAAUACGGGCCAAGCUGCAAAGAGAAGAUAUCCUUUAGUGGGGGCCAAGCGUAUACUACAAAUAGGGUAGCUGACAACCAUCCCUAGAGGGUAGCUGACAACCAUCCCUAGAAUAAGAAUAAGGGACCGGUCUUCCUACAACUACUGAUGAAACAGGACUACCUGGACUACUAGACUUAACGAGCACUUAAACGAGAACUCCGACUGUUGCUCACUGAAACUACACUUCCCACUGCGCUUGCCGGCUACUAUUAAUAGAAUUAUUACUUGCUGAAUUCAGAACUAUUGAUUGCUCAUCUACAUAUUGAUACUGCUUGCAACUAUACCUCUGAUCUUGCUCUUUCAACUCACAACUCCUGUUCUCUUGCCCGAACUAACUCUAUCUUACUUGCCUCUCUCUCCUCCAACAGUGACACUCGUCUAGUAGUGACUUUGCGGACUCAGUAAAUCCGGCCUUGCUCGUUGUGUAAGAAAAUGCGUAUUGCUGGUGUUCAUGCCGAGCCUUACUUCAUAGCUCCAAGCUUAGUUAGAGUAUCCCUCUCCCUUCUCUCGUUCUGUUACUCGUGUUGUACUUAAUUAACUCUGCUGGAACCCUUGCAGUGGGACUAGGGGGAAUUUCCCUAAGUAGCCAUGGGACAGGUGGGCAAGGGAAGUCACCCCCAAAACUCACCCCCAACCCCAGGAAUUCCACUCUUCCUCUCUGGCUCUGUAAACUAAUCAAGUGAUCUUCUUUCUUGCUCUAGUAUAGGCUUUUUCUCUUCUUUCUUGCUCUAGUAUAGGCUUGUCUACUUGGCCCUGAUGUCGUAGUUGGUUUAUUACUAAUAUAUAUUAAACGGAGCUCUUUCUUCCUCGCCUGUAGACUCAACACCAUCCCCUCUUGCCUCUGAUCAAGUAGACCUAACUCACCCGUUGUAUUUAAUCAUGGAUUCCCUCUUUCCUUAUGAGGCUAAUAUAACUUAUAGCUAAUCUUACUUAUAUGCGGAAUAUUUGUCAUAACCCUAGGAAUAUUUGUCAUAACCCUACUUUGGCACUGUAGAUUCAACUAAUAGCUGCUUCAAUAGAAAUAGAAAACAUAUAGCUAACCUGCCCUCUCUUGCUCCACUUUCUUGAUUUUAGGAAUGAUUUCUUUCCUUCCCGGUAUUGACCUCUCCCUUGCAAACCUAACCUAUAUUUGAAUGAAAACGGAUAGGCUAAAGGAGCGGAUGUAGGAAUGAAACAAGUAAGAAUGAAGCGUGCUCUCUCUUUGCCUUUGCCUCAAAGCCUUUACCUGCUCCAGCUGAUUGACUUUGGCACACUUACUAUAUUACUAAUAUACAAUACCGGAGUCGAAGAUAAAGCAUCGAAGAGAAACUAAAGCAUCCGGUGCAGAGCAACUGUCUUACAUCCUAAACCUUGCCCCUGCUUCCCUGAACCCUGCCCCUGACCUUCAACUUAAUGCUCUUUGAACUCUCCCUCGCAACAGCUACUAGGCUUAUUAACCUUAGCAACAUUAGCAACACUGGAUUGAUUUAUUGAUUGAUUUAUUGAUUGACUCCCCACGCCUUAACCUCACUUGAGAACUUGAACUUUACUCUAAUCUACCUAUGUAAACUAACUACUACUGACCAAGUACUACCGGUCUUCACCUCCAGAACUGCUUCCCUUUCUGACCCGACCGAUACUGUUACUACUGAGUUCUAUUCUUUGUUUGGGGCUUACUUCUUACGCAGAGAGCCGGUAGUUUCUUUCCUCUUUACCAAUAGGCAAACAACCACUUUGAAGCAAGUAAGACUCAAUUGGGACUCCGGAAUAACUCGUUAGAAUUGCAGUAAUUAAGGGCACAGGACAGGACUCGUUCACCAAAAGCUGGAUCAAUAGUAGGAACAGGAACAAGAUCGGGAUCUUAAUCUUAGUCUCAAGCAUCAGCAGGAGAAGAGGAAGGACCUGAAGCUGUUGAAAGAGACAGAUCAUUAGCUUUAUCAGUUUCCAGAGCGGGAUCAGCUCCAGUGAGAGUUUCGGUUUUAAAUGAAAGCUACGUUUGAGUUUCAAGAUCAAGGUAUACUUCAGCGGCGGAAUGGACUGAAUUAGAGGGUUAACAAGCUAUGUCUUUACUUUGUUCUAUAUCAGGGUUCUAUAUCAGGUGCUCAAUAAGAAAGAGAGAUAUUCCAUUGGGUAAAGAAAGAGAGAUAUUCCAUUGGGUAGAAAAAAACCACUGGACUUACGCCUUAACCGCUUGCUACUGGACUAUUUACCCUUGCUUGUACCGAGUCAAACUCAUUCAUGGAAAUUGGAAACUUCCGUUAGCGCACCAGUCACUGAUGCUUAUCCAGCGGAUUCUUAUUACUCUUAUGACUCUUAUUACCUAUAUCUAUGCAAUACACCCUUAUCUGAUUCCUCUUCUUCGAGACGAACAGCUUAUUCGGGAGUUCAUACUGAAGAAGAUCCAGAUCCUUUUUAUUUAUUAAGAAGAAUAUGACACAAGAACAUCGAUUACACUCGGCACCGACGUCAAGCGUCAAGUAAAGCAAUGAAUUGACACUCGAACUACUUAUUAUUCUCCUGCUCCAUCUCUUCCCUUUAGCGCCGAGGAAAACACAGAAUUCAUUUGAUAACUCCUUUAGUAGCUACUCAAGUCUGGGCCUGCUCCUUAUUAUUAAGAUGAUACUGUUCCUUUCCACUUGACCGACGCAGUUAAAUAAACCCUACUAAACAGAGGACUUGCUCAUAACUCUCAAACGGUAACAGUAGUAGCUUGUUUCAGCCUAGUUCAAUUCUAUAGUAGUGGGGGCUUUUCUCUUACUUCAGAGUGGAAUUCUUAUACAAGGUUGGUAUAGAGCACUAGGUGAGUUACCCAUAUCCAUUCAAAGAGCGAGGAACCAGAAUUCUUCCGUUGAUAUCUUAGCUUGUUUACUUGACUCACCCCUGGAAUAUAGGAUUGAUGUCGGCACCCUUAUGAAAGAAGGAACACUGGAUCAGUAGGAACUCGAUAAGAUGCUGUGGGAGUGUUUGCGGUAAGUGUAGUUGAGUUCGUGGAAGAGCCGUUCGGGAAAGAGGAGUAAGGGGAAGAAAGGACUGACUCAUAACUAGCUUUUUAUAGAAUAUAGAAACACCUAUUACUAAUGGUUCUGCUCUACCUGCUUACAGAAACGAACAUAUGACUCUAGCUUGUGGUCGGUGCGCGGAUGUAUAGUAUCUACACUUUUGGUUCCAUAUUGCUUUAAGAAUAUAGGAUUAAGUGCACACAUCAACCAAUAGAAGAGAUUAGGAACCUUACCUUACAGCUGACAGCAUUGCUUACGGAAAUGGAUUCUACCUCCUCUAGCCUAAGAUGGAUAUAAUAACGUAAACAACACUUCUUACUGUACUGAGCUCAAUCCUCUGCUCUGGCUGCCGACUUCGACUCGCGUUCCAUUCUGUAACUCCGUAUUGAAAGACUAAUGGCUGUAGAAACACUAGCACCCGACCUAGCGCACAUCUCCCUGAAUGCUUACUUUCACUUAUGGGCAUGCUAUAUAAAUACGGAUGGAAUUGACACCCCGACCCGACCUCAGUUAUUGAUUACUUACUAGCUGCCUCACCUCUGGCUCCAAUUCAUUUAACCCCGCUGGCAACAGAUACAGAAUAUCACUCAUAUGACCUAUUCUUCCCUAUGACUUGAAAUCAGCAUCUUCCCUAUUACUAGCAAUUAGCCUAUUCUAAGUACUCUUAGCAAUUAGCCUAUUCUAAGUACUCUUCCCUAUGACUAGUACAAUAAGCCUAUGCCUAUUCUAAGUAAGGACUAUUACUUUCAAUCCGUAUCUAGUAGUAACUUGGCUUGAGCUCUCCUACUUAAUGGAUACAUUCCCUUUUUGGACCGAUUGCUGCUGGCUCUUCCAACUAUCCCUAGCAACUUUCCUAGACUAGAACGAAAGUGACCUUUCCACUCUAGUAGUCGCUUGGUUGGUAGUUUGCGAGAGGAGAAGCAGCGUUGUAUCCUGUCCCCGUGUUGCAGCAAGUGGUUCUUCCAGUCUUGUAUCUAAGUCAUAGAGAGAGGAGGAUUCAAUUAACCGAGUUGUGGAUUCAUUUCUUUUAGUAGAGUCAGCUAGAUCAGCAGUCGGAUAAGAAAUAGGAUAAUCAGCUUCAGAAGGAAGAGGUUCAAGAUCAUAAUAAGGAUCAUCAGCAUCAGAUGGAUAAGGAUUAGGUUGAGCAGAUCCAGCAGUCAAGUAAUAUGUGAGUUUUGAAGCAAUAAGUGAGUUUCAGUAAGCAGAUAGAGCAGAGCCAGCAGUCAUAGGUAGAGCAGAAUCUUCAGUGUGAGUAAAGUCUACUUGUUCUGUAGCUGCUUCUUUAACCCGUUAUAACUCGUUAUUAAUUGUUUGAUUUGUUAAUAUCUUGAAGCUUUAUUUGUUAACAUCUUGAAGCUCUGGGUCGGGUCGGGGAAGAAGAAAUUCCUUCUGAAGCUACUGUUAGCGAGUCAUUGGUUUAGUUCGACAGAAUGAAUUUGGAAUGCAUUUGGCACAACGGAAGAAUCCGUUUAAAGAAGCUAGCAGAGCAUAUAUAAAAUAACCGGGUAAUACGAGAGAGAUGAUGAAAUGAAACAAGCAACUGAAGAUGUAGUGCGGUAGACCAGACCAGGCAACAAAAUGGAAUCAGUGUCGAGUGUUGCAGCUGUUUAAAGAUCGGAAGCCAGAUCAUCAGCUGUUCGAGUUUAGUACUAAUGCGGUGAUUGUGUUGUAGUUGUCAGAGGAAAAGAAGCCGAAUGCUCAGCUGCUUAAGUCCUAAGUGGUCCAGUCCAAUCCAAGCAUUAAAGUGAAGUAAGUAAGGAUGCAGGUGCAAGACGUAAUGGAGAGAGUAGGUGACUUUCCCGCUUUCCGGGGUGCAGAGGUUCAACUUAGAUAAAGAGGUGAAGCGGAAGCAACUGGUAGAUCACAAUCAUCAGCUGGAGAAGGAUAAGAAGAAAAGGUCUAGCUUAGAACACCGACAGCAAGCAGUACAAGCAAGGGAAAAAGCAGAAGCCGAAUAGCCUAGCCUGAUCGAAAGGGUGAACUCACAUUAGGAGCUACACCGAGAUCUUAUGGAGACUGGUCAGAAACUGGGCCUUAAGUUGAAGUCAACAGUGAAAGGGAUCCAGUGUAUUUACAAAGUUCUAUACCACAAGUGAUCGACGAAAACAGGACAUCUUUUACUGCUCCUGCGGAUUCUUUAGCACAGAUCUAGAUUCUUCUACUAAAGUGUGAGUUGACUCUAAACUCCAAGCAAGACUAAAUGCAUCAGCGAGGGGAAGGGGUAGGGGUGUCAUAGAAGAUGUAACACUUCGGUAGUACUGGUAGUCCAGGUAGUCCUGUUCGAGGUAAGUUAGAGUCUAGGUGAGAGUAGAGUAGUAAGGCAGAGAAUCGGAUGUAAACAGUUCUAGCAAAUCAGAUCUUGUGCAACGCAACGGUAAGAGCUCCUGUAAUCAAGGUUUUUCAUAACAAUGACCAUUUCCGUUUUAGCCUUUCUUUACUGGUAAAACCUGCAAAUAAGGAGAAGGUGUAACAGCUGGAUGUCAAGUCUGCGUCGUUAGCACUUAGGAACGUAGCUUGAGCGGGGCGGGCCUCUAGCGUUAGCGAAUGACUAUAAGGCGGGUUGGGUGCGAGCGAGUGUAUAAUAUGGGUGAUUUUUUCUUGUUUGUUUCUUCCCUUGCUUUAAGAAAAUAAGAUUAAUGAAUGGGAAGCCUCACCCUUAAGUAGUUUAGUUUCGUACAGGUAUACAACUACAGCCUUUGUUUAGUGCCGCGUACCCUCUCUGUCACCAAUGGAAAUGAAAGCACCUGUUUUAUAUAAUUGAGUAACCGAACUCCCUACUCUACGAACAAAAUACUCUGUUGCUCUAGAAACGAAAAACGAAGCUUCCGUUAGCACCUGCUCGAGUAAGCGUUAGCCGAUUCAGACGGGCACUCUACGGAAAUGAGAAAUCCAUAGUUAAUUCCCUUCACCUAAGCUUGGUUACUUGUUCCCUAGGCUUGUUCGAAAGAAAAGAGUAAAAGUUCACAUCGACUAUAAAAAGGGGGUAACUGAAAUGCUUCCUCACUGCAUAGCUUCCAAUAAAAAACUCUACCCUUGUGGCCUUCGCCUAAGCUUGGUUACUUUUUGCUAGCACCGUGAUUUGUUCCCGCAGCUUGUUCCAUUGCUUUAAGACUGGAAUUGAGCGAGUAUAGAAGUCAAGUAAACAAACGGAAAAGGAAUGGAAUGAAGUUCUACUUAUUAUAUAAGCAAGUAACAACACAGUAACAUAUUACUCUCGAGGCGCCAACACAGUUAUGUUAACCGUCCUGAGAUGAUCUUCACGAUUCAACUCAUUAAUAAUGGAAUUGCAGCUUAGCUUACGUGGCUUGCACCUUCACUUCCGCAUUCCAAAAGAGAUGAGCUCAUAUAUACGAUUACAUUCUCCAAGAGAUGGAUUCGGCUUCUAUAUACAAUUACACUCGCAACAAUGGCACAAGAACGGCCCCACCCUAACGGAGACCAAAGUGCUUUUUGCUCUAACUCUGGGAAACUCUUCUUAUAGCUCAUCCAUCAUUUCAACUUAGAAACAGUCCUUUAUAAUACAUUUGGAUUAAAAACAUUGACCUAAGAGUACUUCUGCGCAAGGGCUUCUUCAGUCCCGGAGUCUUUCUUUCACAUCUAGGGUAAGGGUGGGACUCAUUUGCUUGCAGAAAGCUUAAGUAGGCUAGGCUGUUGCUCCUUGUCUACGAGAGAGGCCCCAAAAGGACUUGUAGUUGCUCGUCUGGUUGUCUGGCUUAACCGAGACUAAAGCUUUACUUAACCAAGUAGUGGUAGGUAUAAGAUGGAAAGUAAACUCGAUAAUCCGCUGUUCCAGUGAAGUCUGUGAUAGGGGAGAAAGGUUCAACGACCAGAAAUGGGGGGUUGUUCGCGGAGACCAGAAGUCGGGGUUUCACUUUACACGGAUAUAAGAAAUAGGACCAUCCAAAUAGGGGUGAACAUAGCAGUUUCCGUUUUAGGGAGGAGUACUUGAUUGUUGGAGCGCGGGUGCGAGUGUUCUCGAUGAUAGAAGCCUUUUUCCGCCUGACGAUCCUCUUUUAUUGAUGAAUGGAAUCUUUCGUAUCGAGCACAAAGUAUAGAAUCCAGAUCUUUCGUAUCGAGCACAAAGUAUCCAAGAGAAGUUAUUGUCUCUAAGUCUGUUCACUGAGCGGUCACCUACCUAACUCUCUCUUCAUUUCACUCUAACUAAUGCACUUUCUCUUUCCUCGCUCUACUCUGAUACUACUUCACUUUCUCUUUCCUCACUUCACUCUGAUACUAGUAUAUGGGAGAAGACAGAAUGAUGUAAGUUGCGAGUGUUGUCUACGAGUACGGUGGAAAGUCGACAAUAAGUGCAGAAUAGAGCUAUCCACAAUCAAAUCAUCUAGCGUGAGUGACACUUAUAGAAUAGAAGUAACAACACCUAACUGCGAAACUCACUUAAGUACAAAGCUCACUUGUUCCAUUACUUGUUCCAGCAAUAGCAUCUAUCUCGCAACUAAUAGAAACACAGCCGAAAACAUAGCUUACUGCUAACAAACUCCUUCAAAGAAUUGCUGACUGACUACUGACGACUUUCUGACUCUUCAUUUAUUGUGACGCCUAUGCUUAUAUAUGAUGUUCGGUUCUUCUAUUAGUGGAAGUGAUUAAGCAGUGAUGUUCGGUUCUUCUAUUAGUGGAACGCUAGGCUUUACUUGCGCUUCCUUACUUUACAAGUCUUCGGGAAUGGAAGUCAGAGAGCUACAAAGGCAUAAAAGAAGUUCUCUUGCUCGCUGCAGGCCCAUUGCCCUAUGGCCCAAUCGCUGACAGUUACCUCCGACCAAGAUAAUAGGAAUAACCAGAACACGCGGAAGCCCUUCUUUUUGGGUUAGUAUCUUUCCCUACUAAUGCAGGAACAAGCAAGGGUGAAACUCUGCCUCUAAAUGGGACAGGAAGAACCUUAAGCAUGAAUAGUUGGGCUGGUUGGCUCACAUAGGACCACUACCGGGACAGGACGGACUACCAGGACUAUUAUGCUUCCCCCUCUUAGUCAAGCACAAGCAAGCUCCUGACUCGGCUCCUUUCGUAGGACACGAGGGCGGCUAACCUGCCUACACCUAUGUGGUUUCGUCUUGGCAUUUCCUCUAAGUCAGGAUCGUAUCUUUCCAUCCAAGAAAAAAGCUCUAUAGAAAAAAGGUCUUUCAUGCACUAUAUCCCAUCCAAACCUAAUUAGCCCCGGGUCACAAGCGGGUAAACGUCUGGGCGGAGUAUUAACUAUUCACCGAAGCCCUAGUAGGAUCAGGAUAAACUAAAGAGCUAGCUUUAGACCUUCGGGGCACCUUGCUUCACGCCAGUCACUAUCUUCUGAAAGACCGAUUCUAGAUCACAGACACACCUAGUACUUUGAUUCCUUCUUUCAAUCAAUCGAGCAUUGACUGGAUCUUUAAGGCUUCGCUCAUUCUUCCACCCACCAGUGAUAGAAGGCUUUCGAAAACCAAGUCAGAAAAUGCUUGCUUUCACCCCGGUCAAGGUAAAUCCGGUCUCCGUCUGGCAGUGGGUCGCCAAAGAAUUGAUCCCCGCAAAGAUUAGACCCCCGCCUGCUGCUGGUUGGUUAAGACCAGCGGAUGAAACAAUGAAGUUUUGACUAGCGUCCAUCCCUAUAGGUCUCGAGGUCGGAACCCUAUUUCUCUCUCCUUCGAUUUAUGCCUGCGAAGGUCCCCCAAAAGGUAUAAGAUUCUUAGCUGAGGGAAAUGAGCCAUGAUCAUGAAGUGAAAAGUACGUGGUAACCAAAUAGAAUGGAAAAGUACAGCCUAUCUCGAUUAGCUGAUCGAAACCUAGCGCAUCAUGUUCUCGAGCUUGACUUACAACUGUUAGGUUUUAUUACUUAUCGACAAGCAACGCUAGAUCGGGUGGGGAAGAAAGAGAGAGUAUAAAGCAGGUCCGGGUUCAGGAAAGAAAGAAGGGUGAAGGGAUGCGCCUAUGAUCUGAGUUUUGCAUCCGCUGUUAGGAGUGAAGAGAAAAAUGUUGCAUAGCGCUCAGCGCCGAUACUUGUUCUAUUCCCUUACCUUCUUGACUCACAUCUUAGCCAUGUACAGUUUACUUGCGUUGCGCUACGGUUCUUUGAUACUUGACUUCUGCAGUUGAUCAUUCGAAAAUAGAUAAGGCUUACAUCCAGAAUAUAGUAUAGUAAGUAAUUCAGAUUUCCUUAAAGAAAGAAUAGUAAACAUCACGUAAGUAAUGAAUACAACAGUGUGAAACCGCCCACAGCACGCACGAAGAGUGAGAUCUUGCCUGUUUUCUUUUUGAUGUAUGCUCGCCUGUAGCCUUGAAGGAAAUCUGUUCAGCUGCGCCAAACCAUCCGUUUCAAAAAAGGAUUUCAGGGGGGAAGAUGGGAAUCUCUUUUCAGGCAAUUGGAAAGUUUGCAGAACCGUGAUAAAUACGAACUGUCGAGCUACUCUGUUAGGGUUGUAUCAUACUAAAGUGCCUAUAACCCCAAACCCUUGAUAUAUAUAUUCCAUACUCUGCUCCUCUCAGAUACACCCUUUGGAUUUCUUUGGUAUACAUUCCUUUGCCUUUGGAUUUCUUUGGUAUACAUUCUUGUGAAAUCCAGCAUGUCCCUUUUGCUUGAUGACCUUUUAGCAAUCUCGAAGCAGUAAACUAGGAGAAGCGAAACAAGAGAAUAGAAAACUAACUACCACAAAGCAAAGAGAAUCGGACACUCAAUCCUAAAUUGACAUCUGCCUUCUCAUCUCAUAUGCGCGUCUUAGAUUCUUAGGACUCCACUGAAUCACAUCUCAUACAGAAGCAAAAUCAACAGGAAAGAAAGUACGAGCUUCUUAUAGGAUACCAUGCUUAGUGCUUUGUUUUGGAAAUAGUCAAUCCGUUUUAAGUGUCGAAGGCUGUAGAUAUUUGUUUGGAGAAAUUGAUUUCCUUCCUUUCUAUUAGAGGGCAUUCUAUUUCAAAAGUGCCAAAACUAUCUGCUUUUUGACUUUUCCUUAAAAAGUGAAAUCUGGGUUACCAAUUCCCCCCCUCACAUCGCUGCUUGCAUUAGUUGUCCUUCAAACUGUUCUUUCUCGAGCAGAAAUAUCGGAUUCGAUCGAACAUUGUGGAUCAUCUGCAUAGAGCAUUUUCGCUAACAAAGGAGGGCGCUUCUCAGAGAUUUGGAAGAUAAUGGAAAGUCCGGGGGAGAAGAUAUUUCCCUUCCAAAUUCCAAUAGUUUUUUAAAACACCGUGUUUUUGGUCUCAAUUUAUAGGCUCCAACUGGCAUUUGAGUUUUUCUUCCCUUGUUUUGAUCCUUUAUUACUUGACACUAGGAGAAUCCAGACAAGUUGCUUGGCCCUAAUGUCGUAGUUGCUUGGUGGCUUCGAACGUCUUUCUCAAGGCUUUACUUCAUUAAGGGGAGUGGAAGAGCAGCUUCAACUUCUUUAUCUAAUUCCCGGCCAGUCCAGAAUUGCCGCAUUAAGAUCGGGCUUGCGAACGAGCAGACUCAUUCAAGGUACUUGCUUCAGUGGGUUACACAUGUCUAUCAAAAUCCCGCCCCUACCUAACCUAAUCUAGAGCAUACAUCUUUCUCCCUACCUAACCUAAUCUAGCAUAUAUUUCAUAGCUGGCUUUCCCUUGACUCUUCACUUUCGAAAGCAAAAGAACAGGACUCACUCAGUUCUUAUCCUGUGUCCUGCCAUUCCGCCAGUAGGAGUUCCGUAGGUCUUCCAUUCCAAGUGAAAAGGAGUCGCAAUCCGGUGAAAAGCCAGUAGCACGCUUGUUAAUACGUAUUGGAUAUUCCCUAGUAGGACGGUAUCAGUCCCGAGAGCAAGUUUCGAGUAUUGAAUCAACUCUUACAGUUAUGGAAUCGUAUGUUAGGGAUGGAAUAACAUAUGAAUGAAAGAGUCUUUGCUAGCCCCCUUGGGAUAGAGCCAGAGGAAGUAUCCUUUGAAUAUGUCACUCCCGGGAGAGAUUCUAUUGCUGCUUAUUCGAAUAUUCCCAAACCGGCCGGAUACAAUGACUCUUGCACCGGGAAUUCAACUAACUGGGGAUUCCAGGGCAGUUCCUAUUCCCUUUUCCUAAACCAAGUUUCAAGCAUUAAAGAUUACCAAACGGCAACAGUCAGAUAGGAAAUUGAUAUUAUAUAACACCAGCAGUACCGGUUACGUGCAGCGGUAAUUCCCCAAAAGCAAGAGCGGAGAUGGCCGUCUGAUUGAACAGCGGAAAGGCAAAGACAAACUCCUAUUCUUAGGUAAGCAUUCCGUUAGCUUGCAACUAUUUGUCCACUAAACCUGACCUGAAACCUGUAAGCCUAAACCUGACUGACUCCUAGUAGCCCACUCACUCACUUUUGGAUUAAAGAAGAGUUCGUCGCUAAAGCAAUUGCAAUAUGACUUCCUUCCAAUCCUUUCCCAGCGUCUCGCGAACUAAAACCUCUUGUCCUCCAAUCCCCUUAACUCCUAUAGUCCCUUCCUUCUAUAAAGUUGAAAGCAUUAAAGAUUACCAGUGGUCUCAGCUAACGAACAACUGUCCUCUGUCCCUUAAUUCUAUGAUGGGCAUGUCCCUUAGACUAGUGCAAUGUUUUUCUUUAUUUGAAAAAACGAACUUCUCAUCACCGCUCCUACCAACGAACAUAGAAGUUUUCCGCCCCGUAAGCAUAUUAGUAUUUGCAUUCGAGGAGAGAUCCCAAUUCCGUGUAUCUGGCCCUGCGCUUCUAUUUGCUGGUAAAUCCAAAGAAAAGAAUAUCGGCACCCACUGAAACUUGCUUAUUGACCCGAAACCUAUACUAACUAAAGUCAGCGGUAUCUCAAUAGACUAGCAGAUUGACCCACAUGAGUAAGCGGCAUCCCAAUAGACUAGCGGAUUUACCCAUAUACUAUACAUAAGCGGAUUUACCCAUAUACUCUAUAUAAAGAAAAAGUUCCGCUCUUCGUUCUUAAUUACCCAUAUACUAAACGGAAAGUCCCGCUCUUUCCACUCGGUAAAGUAUAGACUUAUGUUUUGAGCUUGAAACCCGAACCCGAGUUCCCUUCCUACCGCUCCGUGGGCAAUAGCAAUCGGGACCCUUAUCUACUUAACAGUCAUUCUAUCUUAUUAUCUUAUCUGUCAUUCUACCUUAUCUACUUACUUUUCUUCUACCUUAUCUACUGACUUUUCUUCUAUCUUAUCUACUUAUUGUUCUUCUAUCUUAUCUACUUAUUGUUAUUCUAUCUUAUUAUCUUAUCUGUCAUUCGAUUAUUGACCAGAACCCUGACCCUUGACUUGACCUUUUGAGCUUGAAACCAACCCUUUCCUUUACCUUAAAGCUGUCACUACACUACGAUUACACCUAUGCCUCUGUUCUGUUUGCUCAUAAUAACUAAGAUUGUAGAUAGAAGAAAUGAGCCGUUAUGAUACUAUCUUAUUGACUGACCGCUUCGGAUUGCUAAUUCAAUCAUAAAGUGGAUUAGGGGGACAUAGUUCUGUGAGAGGGUCGAGGUAAUUGAGCUCUACGGAUAGGAACGAGUGUAAUACUAGUAGGCAAACAGUCAAGCAGGCGAGUCCUAACACCUAUGUCAAACUAAUCAAAUCGAAGAACAAGUAAACAAACAACGAAAAAAGGCCUUAUUGCCCUGAACCGAUGAAAAAAGUACUCGCACUAGGCAGCUCCCUAACGGUUAGCUUAGAGUCAAACAGUUGCUUGUUCUGAUGCGCUUAAUUUCAAUUGAUCUUCAGUCAACUAAUAACCUAAUCCAAUCGGAGAUAUAUAAGAUAGGGAAUGAAUGUAGAGAACUAAGCAAAGAUAGGGUUUUCUUUUCAUUAAGCGCAAGAUUAAGCUGCUCCUGUGCCAUGUCUUUUAAAAACACACAUUUUGUCCAGUUCAUCUUGAUUCUAUCUACUUCAUUAUCAAAGAAAGCCUACUUCCAGUAUGACUUAAAAGAAAUCAAUAUAAUACCCACAAAUCUUCUUUAAGAGAUUAACAACACUGCUUACUGCUUGCUCUAUGUUCUUUUUAUUGAUUGAUAUGGGGACCCUCUCACUACUUACUAUACUUAUGACUUCCCGCUCUGUAUGGAUUAUCAAGUUCAUUCUUAAGUAGAUACAGAGUAUAGUAUAUUAUUUAGUCAUGUUAUUCUUACAGAUGUCUCACCCCAAUCAUAUCAUUUUGGACUUUACUUCACACACAGGCCCAACUCUUAGUGGCAAUGGAAUUAUUACUGUUUACUUUCUACGAGUUUAGUGGCAAUGGAAUUAUUACUGUUGACUUUCCUACUGGCCCAGACUUAUUAAUGGUUGCAAGAGAAGUAUAAAGUAUUGUAUUUCAACCUGUUGUUAAUGCAAGGCAAGAGAAGUCUAAAGUAUCUUUGCUUAGAGAAUUGUGUAAGCGGGAAAGAAGGGAGUAAAGCAUCAAUCAACCUGACAGCGCGAUAUGUGAUGUUGUAAUAGCUGUUAGCUUUGAGUUGACUCUUUGACAUUAUAUGGUAUCCUUGUGUAUAUACUCUUUGACAUUAUAUGGUAUCCAUUUUGGAGUUUGCUCUUUUCUAGGGUUGAGGACAAGAGAAGAGUAGGGGCAAUCCAAGCAGAUAGUUUUCAAAAGGAGCAAGGGAGGCUACCGUUAUUAACUAUAAACGAGAGUGGAGUUGGUCUAAUUCUGGUCUGGAGCCGGCCAAGAGGAUCUUCCUUGGAUAAGUCCGAAAUACCUUUCAUUUAUCUUCAAAGAUACUGGAAGAAGCGGAUUUUCCCUCAUGCCACGCACCGGCCCCAUUCACUUGCUCGACUCUUCCAUCAACACGUUUUUAUUUCCCUUGACCCUUGAAACUGUGGGUAUGAGCAAUACGUCCAUCUUGGCACAGGGGAUAUGGGCAACACGUCCAUCUAUCCCGGCACAACAGCGAAAAGUUCCUUAGGGGGCUACAAACUAUGUCUCUUACUUCUAUUGGCAGGUACAACUAUGUCUCUGACUUCUUUUAUUCUCUUUUGUCUCUGACUUUUGAUAUAGAAAACAACUAACUCACUCACUUACUGAGAAGUUCAAACCUGAAACUAUAUCCGUCGGUCGAUUCGUUCAUAAUAAGAUUCUUUCAUUAGGGGAAUAUUUGGCAUUUGCAUUUUAGGGGCAGCUUAGGUUCAGCUCAUCUCUACUAAUUUCUGUAUCUUGAACGGAAGCAUUCGCCUUUGAAGCAAAUCCAAGUGUAAGGGAAAGGAACAAUUGAGCUUCUUACUAUCCCCCUUCCUUCUUAUAGCUUUUAUCGUCCUGCUUUGCUAUACUACCGAUGCGAACAAUCAAUCAGUCGAAGGCUACUAGAUGAUUAUUCUUCGCCCGGGCUUGGGCAAGGCCCCACUGGUCACUCUUUACAUCUUCCCUAUUGCUUUGCUUGAGCGGAAUGACAUCUACCCUCUUCCUUCGCUCGAGUCUCUUCAAAACCACCCUAUCCCUUUUAUGAAUACCUUUAUUACAAAAUAGCUCUUUAUCCAUACGAGUGAGGCGAGCACAGGACUUGCACCCUCCACUCUACUUUCUGACAGGAACAAUCCUUUAUACCCGGGCCCUUAUAUACUAGUUCACAGGAUCAGUAGUGGAUUCCAAUUAAGGAGUUGUUGACGGAAAGGGAGUUUCAAUUCCUCUGAUACUGCCUCUACUGCCUCUCAAUCUUAUCUUAUUAAAGCAUCAGUAGACCCCGCUAAGGCUUCUGGUAGAUCGAAAGCAGCGGGAACUCUAACACAUGGAUACUAUAAAGGAGACUCGAACACUAACUCGGCUAGCAUACCUAGCUCAUGACUCUGGUUCUUACCCUUAUAGUAGGCUAUUUAUUAUCUUAUUAGAUUAUUCGUGCAUACCUAGCUCAUGACUCUGGUUCUUACCCUAGGGAAAGUAUUAUACCUCUGUUGGACCGUAUUCGCUACUAUCCAUAGAAAAAGAUGCCAUGUCCUCUUCUCGAUUUCUCGAUGAAAACGACUUCUUACCUCUUACCUAGAAGAAUAUCGAUUAUCACAGGAUUCCUCUAAAGCAUACUAUAGCAGAAAAAAUAUCCAAUCAAAUCUUACCAGGGAAGGAGCCCUAAAGUCAAGAAAGAAUGAAUGCUGUUGCUUGUUCUCGAAGCUCACUUAUUGAAUCCAUCUCGCAACUUAUAGGGAAUAGUUACUUCACACCAAUUCUUCCUUCUGAAGCGCAGUGUACUUAAGUAGAUAGAAGUUUGAGUGUUGCGGUAAGCAAAGCGGGUAAUCUUCAAUUCCAUGAUUUUCUUAAGGAUUUUCUUUGUCUAAGGCUCCUAACGUGAGCUGUUUGAGUUGUGCUAACGGUAGCUUUAAGAGCGAGUCCAGAUUGAGUUUCUUUUUUCCCUUGACUUUGUAAGGAGUGAGUGAUUCCUCAAGUUCUAGAUUCCAGUCUGGUUCCUGUUCCUGAGACUUUACUUGCGACUGCUCCAGCAUUGGAGUUUGGACGAGUAGGGCGAGUAAUCAAAGAAUCAAAUCUCAAUCACACUCAUUCUAUAACAUAGUAAACUAACGCUCAAUCACACUCAUUCUUGAAAACAUAAGUCAACUAACGAAUCAAAUCUCAAUCACACUUCAUUCUUGAAAACAUAGUAAACUCACAUCUUCUCUCGGGGCUUGCUCUUGCUAAAGGGCUUGUUGAAUGGAGUUAGGAACCCUGCUUCCCUGCUUAUUAAAGGACAGAAGCAUAGGCACUAACAACAAUAACUAAAUAAGAAGCAAGAGAGCUGGUUUGGAAGCUGUACCCGGGCGGAACAGGAAAGAGAGAAAUAAGAGUGGAGUAAGGUCGCUCUUCCUCAUUCCAUUCUUUAGUAUAUGCUUGUUUACUUGGCCGGGAUGAAACUAUGAGUAGCUUGUCGGCUUGUCUGGUCGGUAGUAGUGUAUUGUCUGGCGCGUAACACAAGCACGAGCACCCAUUGAUUGAAACCAUAGUAUAUGGCACAACCCCAACGACUAGUCUACCUUUGCUUGCUUCGAUUCUCACUAUCCUGUUUUUCGUUCCCCAACAACUUUACUUACUUCAAAUCGGAUAUGGCCUGUAUCUAAGACCUAAGCUCGCCAGCUACGCUCUCUCAAACUGAAACUUGGGAUCUCGUACCCAGUCUUCUGCUGCUGUCUUUUAGUAUUAAUUGCCUAACUCAAAAGCGGACUUGAUGGUAAGCUAACCGAGCUAGUGGUUGACUUCAUUAUUACUUAUUCCACGCCCAACCUUGUAUUGAGGCCUUACUUGACUUUAUCUCAGCCUGCCUCCAAGCCUUAAAACACUAAACAACACGCUCAGGCUAUUGCCUAUAAGUCUGCCCGAUCAGAGGCUCGGGUUAGUCCGCUACUCCUAACUCCUCCUACUUCGAUAACUCCUUACUUCCACUCUUGGGCUUGCUCUUUUCAUUCUGAGUUUCUUACUGACUUAGUUUAUUACUUACUUAUUCAUUCCUGGACUCCUGGACUUAAGUAUUACUUGAAAACUGCCCACUCCUUCAUAUCUGUAUGCCUUUACACCUAAAACAAGGGGAUCCAACCCGGAUCGGAGGAAUGAAACAAAGGAGUUAGCCUUAGACUCCUGAACCAAAAUCUGACUUGAAAACAGCCAUUCCUGCAAAAAAGCCUUUCGCUCUGGGGUUAGCUUAAGUCUGUUACUUCGAAUUAAUAACCACUAGUUGGGGGAGUUAGGCAAGAAUGAAGUAGUAACACAUGGAUGAGUUUUUCUUUGGAAUCUCUAGUGGGCUUGCUCCGAAUUGCAUUCUAAAGUCCGAGUAUUAGAGUAGUCAGCAUAAGAACGAAACCCACCCGACUAUAUUGAUGGAACGCUGCUACCCGCUUGUAUCAAUAGAAAUCAAAACCACUAUACUAUUGACAGUGCCGAUUCCAUUCUUAUAAGAUAAUAUAGUUUAUUCAGUGCCAACUCUCUUACUACGCUCUGGAAACAAUUCUGAUAUUCGCCCCCCAAACAUAUUAGAAUGAUUCUAUUACAUGACAAUUCUUCUAUCACUUUGCUUUGGAGUGGAGCCUAUUACCUUUGCUUUGGAGUGGAGCCUAUUACCUAUGAUUCUAUUACUUAGUUGUUUGUCUGCUCACCCCCUGCUGUACUGGCACACAACCCACCCUACUAUGUAUCAAUAGCAUAUUGGGUAUCAAUGGCAUAGGUAGCAAUGAACACCACCACUCACUAUUGCGUGUAUCAAUAGCACAAACGAACGGAACCAUACCUACUUGGCAAGGUACUCAUUAUUCAAGUCAAAAGCACAUAGUCUUAAGGGAGCGCCUAUCAGCCUGCGAGCGACCAUGCAAUGGUGAGCAACAUCACUCUUUCUUUACAUUUCAUGAAACAUAACUCAUUCAUUGAGUGGUCAAUCAACAAUAAAGCAAGGUUAGUUCACUUAGUCCCCAAGUCACAUAGCGCAUUCUUUGAUUAAAGUCAACAUAACUCAUUCUAUGCGCAGACCCCCGGGCACUCCGCCUGUGAGCUACCAUAUUACUCUUGCUUUGAUGCCCCUAGACAGAAGAUUGUUUCCGUAGUGCGGUUCUCUUAUAAGAUAGUUAGUUUCCUCAGCGUAAACCUAGUCUAAGUAUAGGCACCCCCUACUGGCGCACAACAAACCUAUUGAUGGGAUUGAAACCCGCGCCUAGUAUAUGGGACAACAACACCCUAGUAUGGUACAAAACACACCCCUAUUGAUUGAAACCAUAGUAUAUGGCACAACCCCUAGUAUGGUACGUAACCCUACCCCUUAUUGAUUGAUUUCCUCUCCUCGCGAGCCAACACCAGUAUUUCUUUCCUGAAACCAUAGUAUGGCGCAGCACACAGUAAUCACUACGGUCGACAUCCUUACAUGCAGAGAAGGUAGGUCCCGCCCCGGGCAGCGAAUUGCACUCGGGACCGCCAACACGCUGUGGGCGAAGUCUUCGGGCGAUAUCACUAUCAUAGUCAGGUGAUAUCACUAUCAUAAUCAGAGGUAUUACUAGAGAAACAGUAACGAACCGAACAUAGGCCCUUAUCAAUACUGUAAACCAACAACGAACAGGGAAAUCAACUCAGUGAACUCAACUAGGAACUGGGACUCUAGUUACUACUCAAGGAAUUUUGUAAGAAAAUGGGAAUUCCGCUGGUGCGGAAGUCCGCUACUUAUUAAUAAUAAUCAUAGGUGUGUUGGCGAGCGAAGAGGGUCAUAAUCAUGGAUGUGUUGUAGAGCAAGGAAAGGGGGGCCAUACUCUCAAACCCAUUGGAUAAAGGCGUCUAUAGGGCCUAGCCAUUUUCGAGUUGUUCAAUUGAGACCGCUCUACAGGGGCGUCAGAGUCAAUACGAGAAUGGAGCUCUACUGGCGCAACAGGGCUUUAACUAACAACUAGCCUAUUAGCACAAUUUCCAUUCUGAGUUUACUGCUGAAGCCCUUGUAGCCCUGUUGUUUGUCUACAACUUACUAUAAGCCUUGAUUCUCUUAUUCAGGGAACUUCUUCUUUGACUUAUUACUUUGAUUCCCAUGUGAGAGUUUGGGCCUGCCACUACGCUCUCGCACUCUUAAUAACCGGACAGCACAUAGAGAGCAGUGAUUUGUCUCUACAUCUACGCCGCUAAAGCCUUACUAGCAUACCAGCAAACUACCUCCCCUCGCCUUUAGUCUGACUAUCCUUUCUCUCAGUCACCAAGAGUAAGCUACUUGAGAAUAACCCCGGGAAUACAGACUUAUACACUGCCUAGUGAAUUCAUUACUAUCUGAGAAUACUUUCACUGCUACUGGAUAGAACACUGCCUCCCAAGCCUUACCGACCUAUUAAUGAAGAAUACACAUCCACUGACAACAAGGCAAUAGUAGCAUUUCAGAAAUCAAUAAACAAGUAAGAACAGCGUAGAGAGCGAGAUGAAGGAACUAAAGAAAGCAAGUAAGCAGAGGAAGAGUUCAAGGCGGGCUUAGCUUAGAUGCCGGGUAAGACUAUACCGUAAUUGGCUAUUGGAUUCCUUAUUCCUACUUUGAUUCUGAAAACACUAAUAAUAUUCUCUUAUAUAUAAUAAUAGUAAGUGACUUAUCUAUCUAUUGUAUUUGUAUUGGAAUUAUGACUUAAUUGCAUUGAUUUCAGCCUUGUUAUCUAUACCGCUACUAUAUCUUAAUGCACUGGAUCAUCAUACCUAGGAGCGGAAGAAUGAAAAGAAGCAUAGCGAGAAUAAAAGGCGAGAUAGUUAGUGAGAGUUGGAGGGCAGCUUUGGGUUCCGUAGUUUGGAUUCCUUGUUUGGUUUGAUUCUCUAACACUGACGUCGGAUCCUGGCUUUAUUAGUAGGAGGGAGCUACAGGGGUUCAAGUUGGAUUGAUACUAAUAUGGUAAUAGGGAAAGACAGAUUUUACGCCGAAGGAGGGAAGUGGAAAGCAAAGAUAUAGACUGCAGGCAAGCGUAGUCAGAAUCGAGGUGGGUUCGGUUCAAUGAGCGGCCCCAAAAACAGGAAUGCCGAGCAGUAGUGCUAGGUUUAAAGCAAGGGUAGGCAGCUUCAGGUGCAGUAAAGGAAGUCCCUCUCUCUUUGCAGGCUUAGAAGUGUUCGGUAAGGCGGCAGCCUUUUCAGUAGUAUUUAGAGUCUAAUCGUUACUAGUGGAUUUCUUGUCCCACUCUAUCGAUCUUGUCAGUCACAGUUUAUUUCCCAGUUAGUGAAGUCAAUCUGCUUAAGUCGCAGUGUAAGCCCUAGUUUAUGGUUAAAGCCCUGUUGGCGUUAGUAUAAGUUUCGUUUGGGAGUUAGGAGUCAUGGACCUUAUUUGUAUUCGGGUAAUUCAAGAUAGGAAUAGCAGUUUUCUCUUUAGUAGCGGUAGGCUAAAAGCCAGCAACGGUAGACUUUAAUCGAGGAGAUCCGUACAAAGAGUAAUCUACCCGUAAAGCAGGAUCCCGAUCAGUAAGGUAAGUCCUAUUUAUAAGUUCCAGUAUUGUGCAGUAGCGGAGUGCUCCAUUCUUUUAUGCCCGGGUUCGAGUUCCAACCUUAUACUACUAAGCGAAACCCUUUAUUAUAAUGAGUAUUUGUCUAGUAGCCCUGUGUCUCUUACUUCUUAGCGCAAUUCCAAUUAUCCGUUAGUUAAGUCCCAGUUCCGAGCCUUAAGUGAGUCCAGCAGCUCCAAUCUGAUACGUGUAAUCCAUAUUGUUGACUCUUAUAUUGAUUCCUACAAGCACCUGUGCUAUUCUCUCCAGUAGCGAUUUCAGCCCUUUACUUAUUAAUUGGAUUCUUUUGAUACUGAGUUAGGCUCUAUGUGCCAAAGAAAAAACUGUAUCCUGUAUGUCAUAGUUCCAUUCCGAUUAUAAGUUAGUUAAGUCUAUUUCCCAAUGCACCAGGUCGUGUACCUUCGCGGUAUUAGUCUUAUAGUGAAUAGUGGAAUUGACUUGGUUUAAGCUUAAUAGGUCAUUUUCCAUAAUAAGAAGAUAACAUAGGUCUGUAGACGAGUGAAUUCACUCUCCUAAGCUGCUCCAUUAGUGGUUUUGCUUGUUGGGUUUACUGCCCUGCCCGUCUUUCUUGCCUUGCUUUUGAAUUCCUACUUUCUUACUUGAUAGCUGAAUUCUGCUUUUCGAGAUAAGAAGUCAAGGGUGGGCUUUCGAGAUAAUUAAGUACGAGAGUCUCUUUGUUUUUGUGCUUGUCUCUAAGCUCCCUUUAGCUAUUAAUUAGGACUUCCUAAGAAAGGACUUGGCCUGUUGCUUGGCCGGGUUUUACCAUAGGCACUUCUAAUGAGGUUUCGAAGAUGCUUUCUUAUCCUCUGAGUUAUUCCGAAUUUAGGAACUAUUUCUUCUUUCUGGUAGAGUUGGAAAAGGAACGAAUCGAGUGUGAUCCGCAGAGGCAGGCCGCGGCUACCGACAUGAGCCAAAGGCGGCUAAUGCCAAUCGCUUUCACUAGGAAACAAAGCAAGCUGUGGAGAAGCCCUUGAAUGAAGAGGAACUAUCUUUAUGGGAACGGAAGGGCUUUGACUAUCCAUGGGAACGGGCACGGAUGAUUGCCAUUGUCGCACCCUACAUACUCUGUUUCCAAGCCCUAAAUGGAAAGUCAGCAACAAGUGGAAAGGAAAGGAUAAGUCGGAAGUAAGCUGUAAAUGAAGGAGAGGCCCUUAUUGUAAGUUCCCCCCGUAGCGACAUCUUCUAGCUGAUGAUCCUAAUUAUGCCUUUCGCUUCUGCGCAAGAAAGCAGUUACAUCUGUUUCAUUGAACUGACAAGCGCUAAGACCUACCUACACAGCCGGAUUCUCAAGCCUCAGAUCCAUUUGAUUCUUCUGCUAUAUCGUAAUCUUUAGGCUAUCAUUUACAAGAUUCUAGGAUCGGGAGCAGGUUCAUCUGUUGUUUUCCUUAACGGCUUUUUCACUAACUAUCCAUAUGUCUAUGGCAGGCGUUCAAUAGCUAACAAGUUCUAAUGCUAAGCGCUUUUCCAAAGGUUAGAGCGAGUGAUCUGAUCAAGCUUUAGUAUUAGCUUGGGUGGGCUGGGCCUAUGUGGAUCCUUUCUCCGGUUCUUUUCUUUCUCUCUCUCUAUUUGGUUUUUCCAUUCCAUUUUCUUUCUUUUCUCUGCGUAGUCUCAUUCUCACCAGCCUUUGACUUGACUUUUCAUACUCUUUGGCAGUAGCACAUUUUCUUCGACUAUGGGCUAAACCUCUUCUUUUGUUUCAUACUAAGAUUCCGAAGAGAAUUCUCCCCGUAUAAGCCUCAGUUACAAACUUUCAAUAGAAGACAUGUCGGGUUCAAGUCUAUUAACCGAGCGAGCACAAAGCUCAAGGGGAGAGCAAUCAAUACAGUAAAGGCGGGCCUCUCAAAUAGAGAGAAUAAGGAUAAGAGAAUAAUGGAACAGAAAUGAACGACAACAACCUGAACUUUAUGCUCUAACUGCUUCCUUUCGAACUCCUGAUGAUUCUUCUCUUGCUAAAGAAUGGAAUGGAGCUAUUAAAUAUUUAUAGAUUAUAGGAUACAACCACUUUCCACUCACUUAUGGAAUAUAUCUCGCCUUGUCAUCAAAGAAUCUAUCUCGCAUAGUUAACAAAGAAUCUUUAUCGCAUAGUAUAGAAUCCAGUGUAACCAAUAACUACCUCGGGCGCCCUUGCAUUAAGAAAAGGAAAAGCAGAUUGAUAGAGGCAUCCGAACGCUAUACAAUAGUACUCAACUUGAUUAUUGCCGUUGUUUGUUUAAUAUGAGUUGCAUAUGAGAUAUAAGAAGGAUGAAUCUCACUGCUUGUUUGCGCUAACGUAUGAGUCGUUUUCUUUCGUAUUGGCUAACGCGAGGGUUCAAAAACUGUCUAAGGGAAGGAUCUCAAUAGGUCAAUAAAGGGCAUUGAGCUCUAAUAUCAUAAGUAUUAAUUGGGAGAGCGAGAUAGAGACAAAUACCAAAUGGGGGCGGUCAAAAAGCUUUGCUACACUUCUGUCUUGCUGCUCAUUUCGAUUCUCCCGCACACACGCGCUCUUGCAAGGCUAGCCUUAAGUGCUUUUUCGGGCCCACUUCCCUUUGGAUAUUAUGAAAGCCAGUUCCUCGUGAUAGUACAUGUGGGAUUUCUUUGGUUAUCCAGGUACAAUAAAUAUGAUUGUGGGAACGAGUAAAAGGUGAGAUUUGAGUUCCUUGCGAGGAGACUUACAAGAAUUUCUACUAUAGUCUAAUGGGAUUGAUGCUGAGAGUCUAAUGGGAUUGAUGAUGAGCGGGCAAAAGCUCCGGCCGAGGGGUGAGACCCCGCUUUUUUCUUGGCACGAGAUGCCGUUACACCAUACAUGAUAGGUGAAAGACCAAGCCCAAACCUCGAUUACAUGGGAUUUCGAUGAUUCACUGCCGAAAGCUACUUAUUGUACGCUAGCACUUGAAGUAGGUGCGUUUUCGUCGUCUUUGCAGAUAUAAGAUCAAAUCAGAAAUGUCUUUCUCUCUUAUAUGCCAUUGAUGAAUAUGAAUAGCUUGGGAAAAGACCUGAAAUCCUACCUUUCAGCAUUGAAAUAAAGAAAGUGGUGGGCACAAAGAAGAAUUACAGACACCAAAGAGAGGGCAGGGUCGCUUAUGGAGGGCUUACUUAAAGAGGGCGAAGAGGUCGUCCCUCGAAGUAGCUCUAUACUAUUUUAGGACAGAAUACCAUUAUAGUGCAGUAGGUAAAAAGACCUACUAACGAGAAUAAGGAGGGAGUUAAUCGCUUCUGGGUAGCAUCAGUACCGGCAUAACCUUUUGAUUUACAAUAAAGAAAGGACUGGUAUUUCACUAGUUGAUACGAUUGAGUCAAGGACUGGUAUUUCACUAGUCGAUACGGUUUAGUCAGUUGUUGCUUCGGUCGAAGUGGUAGUAGCAUCUCUUCUCUAUAAAGAGACAAGUUUGGGCUUUCCCUGUACAAUAUACCAAGUAGAUCCAGUUUCUUAUGCCCGAGCUCAUGGUAGGGAUUCCGUUUAUGGCAUAAGGUUCAGUUCCUUAUCUAGAAGCAUACCUGGAUAUGUACUCAUCUCCUCGUGGCUUCCAUACCUAUCCAAGUUGGAGUUAACAGCAUAUCAACUCAAACUAGUAGACCCAUAGCGAGACCGAGUUAUCGUAGAGAUUCAUACCUUACAUGUGAUCGAGACCGAGACCCCUCCCGCGAACCGCUUGCUGCUUUCUUUCGAGCAUUAACUGGAGUUUCUAUCAGAAUUCCAUAGAUACCAUUGCCGGUGAUCGCAACUAUGUCCAUUCCGUUCUGGCUAGCGAUGAGGGGAAAACUAGCCCAAUGUAUGGUCCGCGCCACCUACACGACUCACUACAUAGGUAUAGGGAAAGCAGGAGAAUCCGGUUGCUCAUUCCAAAAGCCAGAAUGCGGAGCCUAUAAAGCAAGAUGUUCAUCUCCUGUUGGAUAAGGAGACCUAAAACACCAUUCAAGGUUGUCAGGUCGGUAACAAAGGGCCAUCAUUCUUUUGAAUUGGGGUGCCAUGAAUAAUCCACUUGCCUAGCUGACGUUACCAUCCCAAAAAGAGAUGCCUCGAUCGGUGCGGUAGCCACUAUAGGGAGAAUGUGUUGUGAGACGACCUCCCGCGAUGAGCCUUCUAUUUCCUUGAUGUUACACAGGAUGCGCAACGGAGGGUGGAUAUAGGUUACUUAGAGCAUUACAUUAUAAAGAAAGAUAUAGGUUACUUAGAGCAUUAUAUUAUAAAGAAUCGAAAUGAGAACCAAGGAUUACCUAGGGGCGGCCUUGAACCUGCUUCGCAAAGCUCCCCGCCCAGGUUAAAGCCUUACUUGUUGGCUCCUAGUUAACACACUGCAUUUGACACUCCUUAGGGCGUAAGGGGGAUAGUUCUUCAAUACCAAGGCGCUAACAGCAACAGUUUACGGCUUCUUCGAUUUCAAGACGAAGUCCUUUCUCGUGACAACGACUGACAUCCCCUAACUUUGGCAAGUUAACCAAAAAGUACGCUCUUACCGCAGCUUUGGCAAAGGCUACUCGCUCGUGGUAUACUUUGCUCGCUCUGACGCCUACCUCCUUUACUACAUAAAUCCAACUGCCUGCCAGCCUUGACAGAAGAAGCAGUGCCCUCCUUCAAUGUGUUCAAAUACUUUCCAUUUUGUGUCCUGAGAUGGCACAUCAGUAAUUUAAACACUCUAUGAUAACAUCAAUCUGGCUUGGCCCAUAGAGGCUGUGUGAUUGGGGGAUCGUUAGCGGAGCAAGGUAGCCAGAGCUCAUGGUCCAUCAGAGGCGCUAGUUGCUAGUUCGUUUGACCGAUCGAUUAAGUAUUAGAAUCCAGAAGUGCACAGCACACUCCACGGAAUAAUGAAUAGAAUGAACUAGAUACCAAUAUCCCUGGAACAACUUUCAAAUAAACUCCAUCUUUGUCUACCCGACUUUGACUGGUAAGAGUAGCCGUUCCCUGUGUCUUUGUUUAUAUUGCAAAAGAUCUCAUCUACUCACAUUCUGUUCUGCGAUAUUGGAGAAUCACCGUCAAUACCUCUAAGUAGGUCCGGGAUAAUCCUAAGUAUGGGGGGCAAUUUACAACUAUGCCAAUGAAUCUAGUACUUGCAAGUCAAUCUUUUAUGCAGUCAUCGAUUCUUGCGAGAGGCCACAAUUCCCGCGACGAGGAACGAUUUGAUGCAGAGGAGUUAGUUUCGAAAGUAAAGUUGUCUCGAAUUAGCAAACUGUGUAGAAACAUACUGGUAUAUUCCUGUUUGUAUAUGAAAGUGAGCUAGGCCCCGGGUAAAGCUACUUGGAAUUACUACGGAACCGCUUAUCAUUGAAUGUAUUGAACGAUGAAAUGUAUCCCCGUUCGCAUAGUUUCUAUGACUACCUAAGAUUUCGUUCAGUCUAAUAGAAGUUGACACCUAUUACAGCUCGUACAACCUUGAGUAAGAAGUGAAUUGAGACUAUUUAAGUUACAACUCCCGUCCUCCACAUUCUUGAAGUUACAACUCCCUUCCUCCACGGAACGAAAAGUGUUACUUCCUUACAUGGACACACCUCUUAUCUUUCCUUAGCUUCGGGUAAACUCACUUUCUUUUACUUGAGCCUAAACUUGACCUUUGACCUUGCUCUGGAAC
rnacentral:lncRNA from 1 species